AUGGUACAUGAUUUUGCCCGAUUUGUAAGUCAAAAUGAAUGUUUUUCGAUGGCAAUUAAUGGUAGUGAAGAACCAAACGCCACAAACUCUCUUGAUGAGAAGGUCCGUCAUUUAAUGUUAAUCUUUAGUAAAGGGGCUUCAUUACCUGUUUCCACUCGUAGAGUUAAAAGAAUGCGUACCCUCGUAAUUAACGAUAGUAGAUCAUUAAAUGGCGAGAUCCUAGAAGAAUUAUUUAGGGAAUUGACAAGUUUAAGGGCAUUAGAUUAUGGCGGAUCGCCCCACUCAAGGCCGUUGUUGACUGCGGAGGUUCCAAGAAACAUAGAAAAGCUGGUACAUUUGAGAUACCUUAAUUUGUCUUUUCAGAAAAUAGUGAAACUACCGGAGACAUUGUGCGAGUUGUAUAAUCUAGAAAAGUUAGAUAUUAGUUGUUGUUUGUAUCUUAGAGAAUUACCUGAAGGGAUUGGGAAGUUAAUAAACAUGAAGCAUUUACGAAAUAGAGGUACUAGUUCUUUAAGGUACAUGCCAGUAGGGACUGGGAGAUUAACGGGUCUUAGGACCUUGGGUCAGUUCCAGGUGAGUGCAGGAGGAGGUGUUGAUGGUAGGAAAGCAUGUAGGCUUGAAUCUCUUAAAAAAUUGGAACACCUUCAAGUAUGUGGUAUACGUAGACUGGGUGAUGUAUCAGAUGUGGGCGAGGCUAAGCGAUUAGAACUUGACAAAAAGAAAUACCUCUUCAGUUUGACCCUUGAGUUUGAUAAGAAGGAAAGAGGAGGAGAAACGAGGAAGAACGAGGACGAUCAACUUCUUCUUGAAGCCCUGCGACCACCUCUGGAUUUAAAGGAAUUAGUGAUACGGUACUACCGAGGCAACACUGUUUUCCCCAGCUGGAUGACGUCAUUAAUCAACUUAAAGAGUUUAGAUCUCUCUUCCUGCGAAAAUUGCGAGCAGCUGCCUCCUUUGGGAAAAUUGCCGUCCCUUGAAAAACUCGGCCUAUCGGACAUGAAGAGUGUGAAAAGAGUGGGUGAUGAAUUUUUGGGGAUAGAAAGUGAUCAUCAUGGCUCAUCUUCAUCUUCAUCGGUUAUUAUUGCCUUCCCCAAAUUGAAAUCACUCUCAAUUGAGUUUCUGCGCGAAUUGGAGGAGUGGGAUUAUGGGAUUACAAGAACGGGAAACACCGUCAUCAACAUCAUGCCACGUCUUUCUUCAUUGACAAUUGUUGAUUGCACCAAAUUAAAGGCACUGCCCAACCACAUUCAUCAAACGACAACGUUGAAGGAAUUGUGCAUUGUGGAUUGUGAGCUUCUGGAAGAACGUUACCGCAAGGGGGAAGGAGAAGACUGGCCUAAGAUAUCACACAUUCCCAACAUAGAUAUUUUUUAAGAAGGAUUUGCGCAUUCGAGAUUUGGCGUUGACAAGUAAUUUCUUCUCUUACUCUGAUUUGCUUUGUUGUUGUUUUUAAUCUAAUUAAGAAGCGUAAAUAGCAUUUUGAAUCAAACUCUAUAUCCGAAAUCUGCAAUACAUACUUUCUAAUAUUCUGAUUUUCAUAUCCUACCAUUUUUAAUUUGUGAGAUGGGUAACGUUACUGUAAAAGAUUAUUAAUGGAACAUGAGUAAUUCUUUUGCAGGACAAGUGACCUACAUUUAGUUUGGCUUUGGAGUUGAAUAAUAACCUUUCAAGGCCAGGACCCAAAAGCAGGAAAAACAAAAAAAGGAACGAAGCUUAAUUUUGCCACAGAUUACAUGUAUUGCCAUUAUUGACAAGUUUCUGGACAAGUGAUCAAGGGUGAGAGUGGUGCUACAACAUUGAAUAAAGCAGUCGUGACUGAAUUUAGGUUGUGUCAAAAGUGGUAAAUUAUUUGCAUGUGUAGCUAAUUUGACCAUUUCCUGAUCUAUAAGUCUAUAUUAAUUUUGAUUUUUAGUUGAGUGAUUACAUUUCAAGGUUUGCUUACUUAACAGGGCGACCAAUUUCUUUUAACUAAAUGUAUUAUAUGAUGCAGGAAGCAAGGCAGGAUAUGAAAUAAGAAGCUUAUUAAUGGCAGUUGGCAGUGAAUGGAGGCCCUUGACUAAAUUCUCAAGCGGUUGCACUGCAAUUACGCUUAUCCGUAGCCUCAGGUAAUUUCUUCUUCUGCAUUUUUGUAAUUUGUUAUCUAAUUAAGGGGCGUGAGCUAUUUUGAAUCAAAUUCUAUAUCAGGAAUAUAUGCAACAUUUUUUAAAAUUUUGAUAUGAGAGUAAUGAUGGUAAUUUCUCUUUUUUGUCUGUCAUCGAAUGUUAAAUAACAUUCACUAAGACUCUUGAGAGUCAUUUUUUGACAAUUGCAGGACAAGCGACGAAGAGUGAGAAUGGUGUUAGAUUGGGGAUUGAGGCAAAAGGAGGUAAAUUAUUGGCAGAGAAUUUGGGAGCUUGAGUGUACAGGGAUUUGCAAUUACAAUCUUACUCUGCCUUAGGUGAUUUCUUCUCCUGCUUUGUCAUUGGUUGUUCUCUAGUUGAAAAGCAUAAAGUAUUUCAAUCAAAUUCUAUACCAAGAAUAUGCAAAACUUUAUUUCCAUCUGUUUGCAUUGAUAACUUUGCGGCAUAUGCGCUAGUUAAAGAACAAACAGAAACAGAGGUCAGGAACAAGUUUCCUCUGCCGUCAUAUUUGAAAAUGCAACCAUUUCCGGGAAGUAGUUGGCAGCAAAUUCAUAUAAAGUGUAGACAAUAAUGAGCAAAAAGGUGAUUCACAAUUUUAUUUUUUUUAAAUUAAUUGUUAGGUUGGAGUUGUUAAAAGGCCAUUGAGCUAACCUAUGUCAUUAGUUACCUAGAUUGCAGGGGGUCCCGAGACUCCAAAGAAGCAUUGAAUUUUAAAAGGCAUGCAAUAAUUCUUGUGGGCGUAUGAGUUUGAUUUAGAAUCAAACUCUAGAUCAGAAAUCUGCAAUGCAUAUUUUCUAAUAUUCUGAUUUUCAUAUCCUACUAUUUUUAAUUUGUGAGAUGGGUAACGUUACUGUAAAAGAUUAUUAAUGUAAUAUGAGUAAUUCUUUUGCAGGACAAGUGACCUACAUUUAGUUUGGCUUUGGAGUUGAAUAAUAACCUUUCGAGGUCAGGACAACAAAAAAAUGAAUCUUAAUUUGCCACAGAUUGCACUUAUUGCCAUUAUUGACAAAUUUCUUCACAAGGGAUCAAGGGCGAGGAUGUUGAUAGAAUAUUGAAUAAAGCUGCCGUGACUGAACUUACGUUGAUGUCAAAAGAGGUAAAUUAUUGGCAUGCCUGACUAUUUUGACCAUUACAUGAACAUGAGUUUACAUUAAUUUUGAUUUUGAGUUGAGUGACUUUUUAAGGUUUGCUUACUUAACCGGGUGAUGUGAUGCAGGAAGCAGGGCAGGAUAUGAAAUGAGAAGCGUAUUAGUGGAAGUAUUGCCAGUAACAGAACCCAAAAAAAAGUGGAACCAUUUUAAGGCAGCAGUUGGCAGUUGGGAGUGAAUGGAGGCCCUUGACAAAAUUCUCAAGCAGUUGCAAUGCAAUUACGAUCAUCCUCAGCCUCAGGUAAUUUCUUCUCCUGCUUUGUUGUUAUUUGUUACCUAAUUAAGAAGCAUAAAGUAUCUUGAAUCAUUUUCUGUAUCUGGAAUAUAUGCAACAGUCUCUAAAAUUUUGAUGACUGUAAUGAUUGUAGUUUCUGCUUUCUGUCCGACAUCGAAUGUAAGACGACUUUAUUAAGACUCUUGAACCGAGACAUUUUUGACAAUUGAAGGGCAAGUGCUGAAGAGUGGGAAUGGUGCUAGAUUGGGGAAUAAAGCAAAAGGAGGUAAAUUAUUGGUAGUUUCUGCAGCCUUGUUUUCUUUGAAUCAGCACCUGAUUCACAAGACUCCAUUAAUUUGGCUUUUGAUGAGCUGAGUGAUAAAUUUUCAAUUUCUUUGGUGCUAAAUGUAUGUGUGAAGCAGGUAGCAGGGCAUGACUGUGGAAAAGAGAAGAUUUUAGUGAAAGCUGAAACUCAGAUAAUUCUACAUUUAUCUAAUUCACGAAAUUUUAUUUCCAUCUGUUACAAGAUCAAACUGAAGCAGAACUCAAAGAAAGUAAUCUACUUCUUGCGGCAAUCUUGCCUUCGCUCAGAUUAUGAAACCAUUUCCAUGCACCAAAUUCAUCCAAAAGUUUGAAUAAGUUUCAUGGUUGGACACUGUUGGCUUCUUUUUCUUUUGGGGUGCAUUUUGGUGCUACCAAGUGACAGCUGCAAGUAUGAUUGCACUAACCUGCUGCUGGGAAAUUUGAGGUUUUGAUGGCUGCCCAUGUUAUUGUCAAGAAACUCCUCAUGUAAGAAGCUGUGGUUCUUUUCAUCAGCUUGAACCUGAAACUGUUGCUAUGGAUAACUCACGUUUUUAUUCUCAACUAUAUCAUCUUUUUUAGUGUUUUGAAACUCUUAAGAUUAAACUUUGGUAAAAUGUUUUCAGUUAUCCAUGUAAUCAGGCUGAGGAUAAUUUAGUAAAGUUGUUUCCGCUAUUCAAAUGAAAAACCCCAUUGAUUUUAACCAUGAUAAAGCUAAUGUUCCCAAUGAUUACUGCAGGUGAGACUUGUGAAGAGGGUGAGUGAGGCAACUGCUAAAAUUCCUGGCUGGGAUACAGUAACUAGAGGCUGAGAUCAGGUGGUGGAAUUUUUUGUUCCGUGGAUGAUACCAGAAUUGUCCAGAAAAGAUUUGUUGAUACUAAUUACAGAUGAUAGAAAGAGGUAUAGGUGGAGAAGAGAAAUCUGCGAGUCAAAUUAGGGAUAAUUGAUUCUGAUACUAGUUAUAUUGAAAAUAAUAAUAACAAUUGCAUGAAGAUAGUCAAUAUUCUUCUCUAGAUAUAUUGUAUGGACUUCCUUGCUGCCUUUAUCUAUGUGCAUGUUGACUAAAGCUAAUCUAGAAUCAAUAGAGAGGGAUAUUUAUCUAUUUUGUUUAACAUAAGAGUGCUGUAUAAUUUUUCACUAAAUACACCUACAACAAACUAUUAAUAAUAAAGUGAUAGAAGAAUGCCUAAAAUAUAGGUAUUAAUGUCAUAAUAAGCCCAUGUGGAUCUCAGUGCCGCAAGUUCGAUAAAUGGCUAUCAAGGAUUGCUUAUUAAGUCAAAAUAUUCAAAGGACAAAAUGGUAAAACUAUAAGGGUGGAGUAAUAUGGCUAUCUUGGGUUACAUAGUAAGUCAACUACAUUCAAAGUAUAAAAUAUUAGAACCUGAACGGCGGAGUAGUCGUCGUUAGAACCUGAACGGCGGAGUAAUCGUCGUUAGAAUCUGAAUGAUAUGUCUAAGACGUUGCAUGCAUCUAGAAAAUUGCAGAUGAUUAGACCUUGCCAUCUAUGCGUUGUAUGAGGUUAUAGCAACUAUCUAUCUGGUCACCGUUUUCAAGUCUCAAUUGGUAGUCCAAACUCCAAAGAAAAGAAUGAUUCUACAAUAGCAUUAAGUGUUAAUUGGACACAAAAAGAAAUGUUUUAACCACUUUAAGGAAAGUAAAUGUAAUUUUGUGUCCUAAAGAAAAGGUAAAUGUAUGCACUGUCAAUUAAUCUUUGGUCGACCAGCAACAUCAUAAUUUUGUGUAGGUUCAUUUUUGUUUCUUAGAGUUUGUAAAAAGAAUGGGAAGAUUUUAAAAUAUAAAUUUCAUAUCUGUUUAUUACUGUUGUUUGGUCUAAUUUCUUAUGUAGAAUUUUCAGAAUCUGUAGGACAUUAGUUUAUAAUUUUGAGAUUUUGCAGCCAUAAAUGUUUUUUUUUUCUUUUUUCUUUCUUUUUUUUUUUGUUGGCAUUUUAUUUUGCUCCUUUAUCUAUGUGCAUGUUGACUGGCUGCAGUGAGUGAAAAUUUACCCAUAUAUGCUGGCUAUUCUUGGACAAUAUUAGAGAAAAUAAUCAUAUUAUUUCGCUUGAUGUGAACUUCCAUAACUUAUCAAUUGAAUUGCUGUAAAAUAUUAAAUAGUUUUAUUUUUCUUUUAUCGUGUAACUUGGACCAAAAAAGGAAAUGAGUUUAACACGACCCUCAUUCUGCUUCUUGCUUUGGUUUCAAACAAGUCUUUCUCCUUUAUGACAUUUAUUGUAAUUUCAUUUGGAGACAUAUAUCUGUCGUUCAAAUAUAUUUCAUACGUAAGCUGUUAAUAAUUCUGCUUGCAGAAAGCCUACAAAGCAGCUGUGUGAUGUAAUAGAAGACCAUAGUCUCGUCAAUUUUUCAACAUUAGAUAUUCAGGUCAUCAGCUUCUCAUGAAUUCUUUCCUGAGUUUCUUUGAAUUAUUUGUGAUGUAAUAACUUGUGCAUUUGAGAAACUGUUCUCAUGAAUUCUUUCCUGAGUUUCUUUGAAUUAUUUGUGAAUAAGUUCCUAAUCGGCUGCUUCUCCUCAGGAUAAGGAAAGUGUUGCAAACUGGUGAAGCAGCUGAUAGAUAAAAGCAAUGGGUACAUCUUUGCUGGCAUGGAUCGAUGCCAGUGCGGUUGAAUUCAGCAAGACUGCCGUUCGUGAUGUUGUUGAUUGGGAUUACAUUAAGGAUGAUGACAACAUUGAUUAAAAUGGGACGUGAAGAUAUAUGGUGUGCAAAUUAACCCAACCCAACCAAACCCGUACAUUUUAUCAACCCAACCCAACCCAACCCGUAAAAAAUCACACGGAUUAGGUUGGUUUCACGGAUUGGGCGGGUUAAUUCUAAUUUCUUUAUAAGUUUACCAAAAUUAGAUCUGCUUACCUUUGUUCAUUCAGCAACAACACUUACAAUUCACAGCUAGAGAAUCUAUCCAUUGACAAUUGUGGAUUAAAAUUAUAACACCUGAAUUCAAACAUAUCCUUAUGAAGUUAUGAAUUUGUUCAUACUUCAAAUGAUUUUUUUUUUCCAAGCUAAUAAAGCAACGACUUUGAUCAAACGACGACGUUGAAGGAAUUACGUAUUUUCAAUGUCCUUUGCCAGACAGACGCUGGAGAGAGGGAAAGGAGAAGACUGGCCUAAUUAAGAUAUCUCACAAAGAUUAUUAUUGAGUUAAAAUGUUAUUGUAAAAGAUGUUUAAUACAAUAAUAGUACUUCUUUUGCAUUGUUAUAAUGAGGCUGGCGGGUUUCCUCAGAGGAUGGAUCUGGCUCGCUAGUAUGCAUUUGGGAAGCUGCUAAUUAUCGGCCAUAAAAAGUCAGGGGGUUGUGGCUCGUCCGUCGCCCAGAAAUUCCUAAACUCAUAUAUCAAACUUCAGAUGAACUUGGGCAUUAUGUAAAUAUGUAUUUUUGAGAAUUAAACUAGUGCGUUAGAAAAAUUUUGAGCCAUUGUAAUCAUUUUAUUUUGCUAAGAGAAAAUUUUACUCUGUGUUUCGCUUUGCCUUUUGUUUUUUCUGUGAUAAUAUGAUUCAUACGAAUGUGAUUACACACUAUCAUGCAUCUAUUUUCAUUUGCUUGUCAUGAAUGAUCAACAUGCUCGAAAUAUUUAUUUAGGUUGGAAAUAUUUAAAUCUAUUAAAAUACUAUACACACCCAUUUAAAAAUAAAAAUAUGAUUAUCAUAAUGAUCGCGAAGAUAACACGAUAUCAUACAUAAAAUAAAAUAUUUCGCAAAAAAGAAAAGAUACACUUGAAUACAUUGGUAUAAAAAAUAUUUUAGUGGAUUCAAGUAGCACUAAUGCCCCCUUAUCAAAAAAUAUAUAAAGAUAACUAAUCUGAUUGGGUAUACCGUGUGUGUGUGUAAUAUUUUUUGAUAUUAUUAUAUAAUAUUUUUUAAAAAGAAGAGAGUGGGCAAAGUCCAAAUCAAUUUUCUAAUCCCUAUCUCCUUUAGGAUUUCUAGUCAAAGAGGCUAAAUUGCACGAAAUUGUGCUAGCUUAUUUGAUUUUAAAAUUUUCCAAUGCACUGUAACACACUCUCAUGCUUGUACAUAGCUCGAAAAUCUCUAGAAUUUACCAGAGUAGUGUACCAUGUAGCUUGUACAUAGGUUUUUCUGGAACACUCCAAGCGUUACUAAGCAUAAGAGCUUUGAGAACUCUCUAGACAUAAAACAUUCAAGGGUAGGCCUACCCUAAAAAUAGGGCAUGAUGAUUGCCAUUUGAGCAUACAAGAAGUAAGAACAAAUCAAGUAUAUUUGUAAGCUCCCAAACUCUCUCGUACACACUCUUGUGAAUAAUAUGCUUUCUCUUUGACUACAUUACUCUCUCUUCUCUCUAGUUUUUUUCGUAAGUAUCAUAGCUUAGCUAGUCGAAAAGUUCAAGUAGGAAUGAUAAUUUUUCCUGACAGGAUGUGGGAUCCCAUCUCAUUUGGGACGGGAUUGGGACACAUUUUUAUCCCACAAAAAAAUAUAGGGACGGGAGUAGAAAUUUUUUUAUCCCACUUGUAUAUAUGGGACAGGACUGAGAUUAACAAAUUCAGUCUCGUCCCGUCCCGUCUCAUUACCAACUAGGGAUGGAAAUUUUUCCAAUUGGGAUGGGCUCUCGCAGAAUCCCAUUUAUUUUGGGAUGCAAUUGAGACAUAUUUUUAUCCCAAAAAAAUAUAUCGAGAGUGAGACUUUUUUUUAUCCCACUUGCAUAUUCGGGACGAGACUGAGAUUAGUAAAUCUCACCCUAUCCCAUCCCAUUGCCAACCCUAAGUUCAAGGCUUACUUUGCAAUUAUCUCAUAAAAGUUGUUUUAAGUACCACAGGAGUUUGUUGUGCAAAAUACUCAUCCCGUGACAUUAGCUAAAUAAAAUUAUUUGAAAGCCACUUACCCAAACUAUUAAACAAAUAUUAUUCUUUUAAUAUGUAAUCUUUUAAUAUAAAACUUUUGUCUUAAUUUUCUAUCUCCUACAAUAAAUUUUAUGAUUUUAAAAAUUGAAAAAAUUAGUAACUUUUAGAUAGAGCAUUCCUUACUGUGAAAAGAAAUAUGAAUGGUAAUAUAAAACUUACUUAUUAUAGUAUAAUGCUUUUAGUUUUUUGAAAUAUAGGUUCUUAUUUUUUUCAAGAUAAAGUUCAAAGAAAACAAGUUAAAUGUUGUGGAAAAUCUUACGCACAUACAAUAAAUUAUGACAGCUAAAUGCAAACCUGGCUGAAGUAUUAGUUGUUUUAUUACAGAGACAAAAGGACAAUAUCACUAUCCAAGUCAAAAGCAACUCAAUGUGAGUCUUAGGGCACUCGCAGUGAAUCCCAAGAUAAACUAAUUUCACUAGCAAGUUGGAUACCAAAGAGUAAGGCUUCAGCCUCAAUUAUAUUAACAUUAGCUGAGUAAACAUUAAAUACCACAAUCAAUCUCAGAAAUCAUAAUUAAACUAUCAUGAUUAAAAAUAAAGUUUUUUUUUUAGAUAUCCGUUUGUAGUAUCUCUUUAGAUGACAAGUAGGAGAUAAAGUAAAUAAAUAUUGGUUGCGUAAAUAAAAAUAAAUAAAUUUUUUAACUGAAAAAAAAAUUCCUAAAAACUAAAUAGUUCAAACUUUUUUUAACAUGAAAUAAAUAUUUGAUGCGUAAAUAAAAAAAAUUUAACUGAAAAAAAUUCCCAAGAACUAAAUAGAUCAAACUUUUUGUUUAACAUCAUGGGUUUUGUAUAUUCAAUUGAACCGAACAACUAAAUUAAAUCGAAAUUACCAUGUUCGGUUCAAAUGAAUAGACGAAAACCGAACAGUUUAUAUUUUUAUGAACUGAUGGUGCGUUUACUUCAUGAAAUGAAAAUAUGGUGGAAUGAGAAUGUGUUAAAAUGAAAAUGAGGAAUGAGAAUGAGAUUCUAAUGUUUAUUUAGUAAAAAUAAAGGGAAAUGAGAAUGUGCUGGAAUGUCAUUGAUGUGUUUAUUUGACAAAAUAAAUGACAAAAGUAUCAAUUCGGAUCCUGCUAAUGAUAGUUUGCCAUAUCCUUUGUCAUUGAACUUUCUUACAAAUGCUGUGGUUUGUUGUAGUAUAAUUAGUUCAAUCAGAAACUUCCUUGAUGUUAAUAUAGAUAUGAGUGUGCUGUGAAUAUUGAGGACUUCAUUAGACUAAGUGAUGUGAUGAUGGAGCAUUCACUUGGUCCCAAUGGAGGUUAGUCAGCCCAUUGUUGUUUACUCUUUCUUGCUUUAUCACGCAAUGAUAUUCCUUUGCUUCACAACAAAUUUCAUGAAAUUAACUUCAAUCGAGUGGCUAUGUUCAUACGCUAUUGAGAUUUUAUGGACAAUGAUUUGGUAGACUUUAUAUGCCGUCUUCUUUCUUUUUGCAGUGAUAUGUUUGUAUGCAAUGCACUUGUACUUGUUCUAUGGUUUCUAAAGUAGGCGUUUUUAUGAUAAACUAGGUCUUGGGUAUUGUAUGGACUAUCUAGAGAAGAAUAUUGACUGGUUGCAGUCGAAAUUGGAACCACUUUUGAAAGGUAAGAAGUGGCCAUUUUCCUUCAUUCUAAUGCCAAUAAUGCUGUCAUGAGACUCAUAAAAAUUGUUAAAACGUUAAUGUUUUUGGUAUUUUGCAGAUCAUUAUCUUCUGUUUGAUUUUCCUGGCCAAGUUGAAUUAUUUUUUCUUCAUUCCAAUGCCAAGAAUGUUAUAAUGAGACUCAUAAAGAAGUUAAAUCUCAGGGUAUUGUUACAUCUUACGUCUAUGAAGGGACUCAAAGAGUUGAGAUGAAUUCAUCAUUAUUAUUUUGAUGCCAGAAUUGUGCAAUUCUCAGUUGCUUCCUUUCACAUGCAGUUGACUGCAGUGCAUCUAGUUGAUGCGCAUCUUUGCAGUGACCCCGGGAAGUAUGUUAGUGCUUUGCUUCUCUCGUUGUCGACGAUGCUACAUCUGGAAUUUCCCCCAUGUCAAUGUCUUGUCUAAGAUCGGCCUGAUUGAGAAUUAUGGAAAGCUAGGUGUGGUUUUAAGUGUAGCUCUCCUACUUGUUUGUUUAGAUUGAGAUAUCAGAUAUUGUCACAAGCUCCUAUCUGCUACAUUUCCUCACCAAUCAAUUACUUUGGGUAUGUUGCAGCUUUUAAUCUCGAGUACUAUACGGAUGUGCAAGAUUUGUCAUUUUUACAGCAUGCUCUGGGUCAGGACCCUCGUUCUGCUAAGUAUAGGUUUGAAUUCUAGCUGAAUCAAUGAUGCAAAUUAUGUCCAUUGCUAUUUCUGACUGUCGUUUCUAUCAUUUUCAAUUGUUACCUCCCCUUGCCAUCUACUGCCAUACUGCAAUGCCCACACAAAUGUUAUGAAAUUUGUCAAUGGAAAUGACAUUCUAUUUGUCCAGAGACAGCUCUUAGAUGCAAGUGAACAAUUUUUGGCUUUGGCCGUAGUACAGCCUUAGAUUUCAACUUGCCAUAUCUUGUCUCGGAAGUCAAAAGAAAGCAUAUAUGUUAGCCAAAUUUUAUUUGAAUUUCUUGUGUAACAAUGAAUGGGGAAAAAAAACAGUUCCUCUUUUGUUUUGAUCAGACUCAAUGAAUAAGUGGUUAAAAUGUGCCUGUACUAGAAAUAUAGAUGUGUGGUUUCAUAAAAUUUUCUUGAUCUUAAGAAAGAGUUAUCUUGAAAAGAAGAUAACAUGGGGAAUUGAACAACUAUACAGUCAUAUUGAUGUCUGUCAACUUGGGUCAUAUGGUGUCGUUUGGAUGGAGAUGUUAGGUCCCAGAUGGUAAACUUGUUAUCGAAUUCCAGUCUACUUCAUUCAUGCUUUGAUGACAUAUGUGGUGCAGCUUCUUAUCUAAGACCUGCAUAUGUUACAGUCAACAUUCUGUUCUGUAUUUGGCUGCCAUUCUUUUCAAUGAAUUCAAACCACUUUCUGAAUACUUGGAAAUUCAUCCAGUGUUGUCAUUGAGAUGCCAAUAUGAAAAGAAGCCAUAAUUGCCCUUGAUAGUAUGCUUAUUGAUUGCCUCUUGCCUCACUCAACCUCAGGAAUCUGCUUGUAUGGUGUUCUUCUAAUUUCAAUUGGAGAUAAAUAAUAUCUGUUGUUCAAAUAUAUUUUAUUUACAAGCUGUUAAUAAAUCUGCUUGCAGAAAGCUUACAAAGGAGCUGUGUGAUGUAAUAGAAGUCUACAGUCUGGUCAAUUUUUCAACCUUAGAUAUUCAGGUCACCAGUUUCUCUUGAAUUCUUUCUUGAGUUUCUUUGAAUUAUUUGUGAAUAAGAUCUUAGUUGACUGCUUCUCUUCAGGAUAAGGAAAGUGUGGCAAAACUUGUGAAGCUGAUAGGUAAAAGCAAUGGGUACAUCUUUGCUGGCAUGGAUGCCAGUGCAGUUGAAUUCAGCAAGAUUGCCGUUCGCGAUGUUGAUUGGGAUUAUUUCGGAUAUCCUUCUUUUCACCUAUUUUCAAUCUUGUUAUUCUCAUAUUCAUAAAACUUUUUGGUUAUUUAAUUAUGGUUCAUCAUAUGCAUCUGCAUCUUCUAACUUGUUCGUUUGAGAAACUAAUUUUGCCGUUAGGUAGGCUUCGAGCUUGAUGAGUUGAUUCAUGCUUUUUCAUAAAUGUACCAAAAUCAUGGAAACUUCUUUUUCCCAGAUAUUGUAUCCACACUUUUCCCAUAUAAUUGGGUCAGACAAGUUUUGCUUAACAAAGAUAUCUACAGUAGCCGAAGUGCAGGAGAAGUACAUUAAGGAUGAUGACGAUGUUAACUAAAAUGAGACGUGAAGAUAUGUGGUGUGCAAACCGUAAGCCUGCCUCUUAAUUUUGUGCAUGUUUACUUGCUUGUGAUUCACGUUUGUUAAUCUAUUUUGCUCUCUUGCAGGAGUUAUAAAGUUUUCAAUCAAUCAAACAUUUAACUCAAGUCCUUAGCUCUUCACGGCUUGAAUGGGUCAGAUAGGACAAGCGCCGAAGAGGUGGUUUUAAUCAAACCCCUCCUAAUUAUGAUGUAUGGUCCGAAUCUCGGACUUUUUGUACAAUAUCAAGCGAUUUUUUUUUGGUUGAAUCGGCUAGUGUACGCAAAUGUCGAUUAUUGAUUUUUCUCCAGUAUUGUUUGUAAUUACAAGAAACGAAGUAAUGAAAUUUAUCACUGCGUUCAUAGUUAUGCUUAAGCUCAAAGAUUACCGUCAAGAUCAUUUUGGGCCCUCAAAGAAACAUGAUGUUGACACAUGUAAAAUUAUGAAGCUUGUGAUUAAAAUACUUUUCACAUAUAUAUGUUAAGUUCUAUUAAUAAUUAAAUAUAUGAAUAAAUAUGGUCAAUGAGGAGAGGAUAAAAUAAAAUGGUUUCAUUUUUUGAAUUACCCAUCCGCUUCAAACUUCUAAGAAGUAGAUAUACAAUCAGUGGAAUACUGAAUUGAGUACGAGCUGCGGAUAACUUAUAAAAUUGGGAUACAAGCUUCAAGGAAAGUGUAUUGCUAUUCAAAUGUAGAUUUCAAAUUAAGAAGAUAUGCCAACAAAUUAUUCUAAAUGAUGAAAUGAGCUAUCUUGAUCAAAAGGUCAAGAACCUACCUUACUUCUCUUAGAGAUAACUUGCAUCAACCGUUGUGGUAUUGAUACUUGUCUUCAGCUAGUAAAAGUGAAAGUUUCACAAUUGAAAUAAAGCUAAGGGAAGAUGCUAUGCUCCAUUUAUUAUUAUUAUUAUUAUUGACGUGGUCGAGAAGUAAAGCCGUGCAUAUGAUGAAGUAUAAAUAAGAAUGCAAUAGCCCGGAAUUCAUUUACACAAACACUUCAAUAUCCUUUCGAUCACUUUUGCAAACAUCAAUUUGUCUCCUCUUGUAUUCACCAUGGUUGAUGCCAUCGUUUCCCCUCUCGUGGAGCAGCUGACUUCCUUCGCUGCUAAAGAGAUAAUACAACAGGUGAUCGAAGUUACACCCCCCAUAGUAUAAAUACUUCUAAUGAUUUUAAUUGGUUUUGUUUUUAUCGAAAACAUUAACUUUGCUUUAUUUUACGCAUUUAGGCAUUUUAAAUUUUGAAAUUUGAAUUGAAUUUAAUUAAAAUGUGAUUUAGUUAGUAACCACUUUUUUUUUUCAUUUAUAUUCUCAAUAACUACCCAUAUUUUGGUAACUUACUGUAACCCCCGUAUCUAAGAAAUUAUCAAAACCCACAAUUUUAACUCCACAUAAAUAUUCCAUGUUGAGCUAAGUUCGAUGUUGAGGUAAGUUUUUUGCAUAACAUUCAAAUUUGUCAAAUAGUCAUUAAUUUAAUGUUUAGUAAAAACUCAUCUCUGAAAAAUUUCAUAAUUUUCUUACAUUAUUUGAGUCUGGUAAGUGACUUCAUAUAAUUUCUUUUCAAUUUAAAUUUUAAUUUGGUUUCUGAUAUAGUCUCUUUACUGAAUUUAUAUCUUUUAUGAUUCUUGGAUUUUGGGCUCCAACUUUUUAGGAUUUGAUAGUCACAUUUUAUGGCAUGCUUAGAUUGAUGUUCAUGAUUUUUAGUACUCGUUAAGUGACUGAGAAUUUGACAAAAGUUUGAAAGGAAAUCCGUUUCACGAUUCUUAUGUGGAAGGUUCGUAAAAUCAUGAAAUUUGGAUAGGAUUCAUUAGCAAUAUGUACAAGACUGUCCAUAAAGUUUCAUAAUUUUUCAUUCGGUCGGGGGUGGUACAGGUGAAACUUGUGGUUGGUGUUGAAGAAGAAGUGAAAAGCCUUACCAGCCACCUUCAAGCCAUUCAAGCUGUGCUCAAUGAUGCAGAGGAAAAGCAAGUGAAGGACAAAGCUGUUAGACAUUGGCUGGGUAGGCUCAAGUAUGCAUCCUACGACAUUGAAGAUGUGUUGGAUGAGUGGAUCACAGCUAGACACAAAUUGCAAAUUGAGGGUGGCGUUGAUGACAAUGCUCUUGCUGCUCCUCAAAAGAAAAAGAAGGUAUGUUUCUGCUUUCCUGCCUCUUGUUUUGGAUUCAAACAAGAAGAAUUUGGUUUCAGACAAGUCUUUCUACGUUAUGACAUUGCCAACAAGAUCAAAGAAAUGAAUGAAGAGCUACAUGCUAUUGCUACUCAAAAAGACAUGUUUAAUCUUGUUAAGAGUGGCAAUAAAAGUGGUGAAAGACCAAGGCGUGUACAGAGUACCUCCUUGAUUGAUGAGGAAGAGAUUUGUGGUAGAGUUGGUGAGAAGAAUGAACUCAUAAGCAAGCUGUUGCGUGAGAGUAGCGAGCAACAAAAAGGCCUCCAUAUCAUCUCAAUUGUUGGUAUGGGAGGCAUAGGGAAAACUACUCUUGCACAACAAGCUUGUAAUGAUGACGAGGUGAAGAGAAAGUUUGACAAAAUUAUGUGGGUGUGUGUAUCAGAAACUUUUGAGGAGUUUAGGGUUGCCAAAGCAAUGGUUGAAGCUUUGGAUGGUCGUGAAUCUCAUUUAGGUGAAUUCCAAUCUCUUCUUAAACAUAUUGAUGAAUCCAUUGCAGGGAGGAGCUUUCUUCUUGUCUUGGAUGACGUAUGGGAUGGAAAUUACGUGAGAUGGGAACCAUUCUAUCGUUGUCUAAAGAAUGGUCUCCAUGGAAGUAAAAUUAUAGUUACCACACGUAGUGGGUCCGUUGCAUCCAUGAUGGGAUCCAUAGAUAUUAUUCCCAUUAAGGAAUUAGCUGAAGAGGAAUGUUGGUUGUUGUUUAACAAGAUAGCAUUUUUUGGUAGGCCUAUCGAGGAACGUGAAAAAUUCGAACGAAUUGGGCGAAGAAUUGCAGGCAAGUGCAAAGGUUUACCUCUUGCUGCAAAGAUAUUAGGGAGUCUUAUGCGCUCUAAACAAACUGAAGAAGAGUGGAAAAUAAUUUUAACUAGUGAUUUAUGGAAAGUAGAAGAGAUUGAGAAAGAUGUUUUGUCCUCUUUAUUGUUGAGUUACAAUGAUUUGCCAUCUAGAGUAAAAAGAUGUUUUUCAUAUUGUGCUGUCUUUCCAAAAGACUACAAUAUAAAAAAAGACAAACUAAUUACAUUGUGGAUGGCUCAAGGUUAUCUUAGUGCAGAAGAAGAUGAGGAGAUGGAGACUAUAGGUGAAGAGUAUUUUAGCAUCUUAGCUUCUCGCUCUUUCUUUCAAGAGUUUGAGAAAAGUUAUGAUAAUCGUAUUAUAGAGUGCAAGAUGCAUGAUAUGGUACAUGAUUUUGCCCGAUUUGUAAGUCAAAAUGAAUGUUUUUCGAUGGAAAUUAAUGGUAGUGAGGAACCAAACACCAUAAACUCUCUUGAUGAGAAGGUUCGUCAUUUAAUGUUAAUCUUUAGUAAAGGGGCUUCAUUACCUGUUUCCACUCUUAGAGUUAAAAGAAUGCGUACCCUCUUAAUUAACGAUAGUAGAUCUGAUCAUUCAUUAUUAAAUGGUGAGAUCCUAGAAGAAUUAUUUAGGGAAUUGACAAGUUUAAGGGCAUUAGAUUUUGGCGGAUCGUACACACAUUUUUCUUUGACUCUGGAGAUUCCAAGAAACAUAGAAAAGCUGGUACAUUUAAGAUACCUUAAUUUGUCUUGUCAGAAAAUAGUGGAGCUACCGGAGACAUUGUGCGAGUUAUAUAAUCUACAAAAGUUAGAUAUUAGUGAUUGUUUUAAUCUUAAAGAAUUACCUGAAGGGAUUGGGAAGUUAAUAAACAUGAAGCAUUUACGAAAUAGAAGUACUAGUUCUUUAAGGUACAUGCCAGUAGGGAUUGGGAGAUUAACGGGUCUUAGGACCUUGGGUGAGUUCCACGUGAGUGCAGGAGGAGGUGUUGAUGGUGGGAAAGCAUGUAGGCUUGAAUCUCUUAAAAACUUGGAACACCUUCAAGUAUGUGGUAUACGUAGACUGGGUGAUGUAUCAGAUGUGGGCGAGGCUAAGCGAUUAGAACUUGACAAAAAGAAAUACCUCAUCAGUUUGACCCUUGAGUUUGAAAAGAAGGAGGAAGGAGGAGGAAGGAGGAAGAACGAGGACGAUCAACUUCUUCUUGAAGCCCUACAACCACUUCUCAAUUUAAAGGAAUUAGAGAUACAGUACUACCGAGGCAACACUGUUUUCCCCAGCUGGAUGACGUCAUUAACCAACUUAAAGAGUUUAGAUCUCUCUUUGUGCCUAAAUUGCGAGCAGCUGCCUCCUUUGGGAAAAUUGCCGUCCCUUGAAAAACUCAGCAUAAUGUUUAUGCCUGUGAAAAGAGUGGGUGAUGAAUUUUUGGGGAUAGAAAGUGGUCAUCGUGACUCAUCUUCAUCUUCAUCGGUUAUUAUUGCCUUCCCCAAAUUGAAAUCACUUUCAAUUGAGUCUCUGGACGAAUUGGAGGAGUGGGAUUAUGGGAUUACAAGAACGGGAAACACCGUCAUCAACAUCAUGCCACGUCUUUCUUCAUUGGAAAUUAAUUACUGCCCCAAAUUAAAGGCACUGCCCGACCACAUUCAUCAAACGACAACAUUGAAGGAAUUGCGCAUUUGGGGGUGUGACCUUCUGGAAGAACGUUACCGCAAGGGAGAAGGAGAAGACUGGCCUAAGAUAUCACACAUUCCCAACCUCCAUAUUGGGCUUUGACAAGUAAUUUCUUCUCUUACUCUGAUUUGCUUUGUUGUUGUUUUUAAUCUAAUUAAGAAGCGUAAAUAGCAUUUUGAAUCAAACUCUAUAUCAGAAAUCUGCAAUACUUACUUUCUAAUAUUCUGAUUUUCAUAUCCUAUGAAUAUACGAUUUUUAAUUUGUGAGAUGGGUAACGUUACUGUAAAAGAUUAUUAAUGCAAUAUGAGUAAUUCUUUUGCAGGACAAGUGACCUACAUUUAGUUUGGCUUUGGAGUUGAAUAAUAACCUUUCGGGAACUGGUGUGGACUGGCAAAGGAUGAUGAGAUAGUUUUUUGAGUGAGUAAAUUUUGGGAGCUUGAGUGUAUUGGGAUUUGCAAUUACAAUCAUCCUCUGCUUCAGGUGAUUUCUUCUCUUGCUCUGUCAUUGUUUGUUCUCUAAUUCAAAAGCAUAAAAUAUUUCAAUCAAUUCUUAUACCACGAAUAUGCAAAAGUUUCUAAUAUUUUAUUUCCAUCUGUUACAAGAUCAAACUGAAGCAGAACUCAAACAAAAGUAUGCUACUUCUUGCGGAAAUCUUGCCUUUGUUCAGAUUAUGAAACCAUUUCCAUGCAGCAAAUUCAUCCAAAAGUUUGAAUAAGUUUCAUGGUCGGACACUGUUGGCUUCUUUUUCUUCUGGGGUGCAUUUAGGUGCUAUCAAGUGACAGCUGUAAGUAUGAUUGCACUAAGCUGCUGCUGGGAAAUUUGAGGUUUUGAUGGCUGCCCAUGUUAUUUUCAAGAAACUAUUGAUGUAAGAAGCUGUGGUUCUUUUCAUCAGCUUGAACCUGAAACUGUCGCUAUGGAUAACUCAGGUUUUUGUUAUCAACUAUAUCAUCUUUUUCACUAUUUUGAAACUCUUAAGAUUAAACGUUAGUAAAGUUGUUUCAGCUAUUCAAAUGAAAAACUCAUUGAUUUGAGACUUCCUUCAUUAUUGUUUCUAAUUACAAUGCUAACGAUCCAGAUAAGAUAAUAUUUAAUCGGCGAAGGUGUCCCUUGGAAGUACAUCCUUCUUUUUCUUUUAUUAUAUAAAUUCUUGCAAUGAGCUUAGUGAAGCUGUUGUGCUAAUCAUGCCACUGCAUAAUUUGGCCCCUAAUGUGGGUACUCUGUUACAUUGUUCUGCAAAUUCUCCAGAAGUUAAAAUCAAUAAAUUUUCUAUUAGCUCUAGUGCUUUGACCUAAAUGCUAUUCUAUAUUCUGAUUACAAUGUUUUAACCUUUAAAUUAACUACCCCUAGAUGUUGGAUUUUCUAGAACUUCAAAUUAUAUAUAACCUUUAAAUUAUAUAUUUCUGUGUCUCUAUUUAUAGAUGACAUUUAAGCAUCCAUAAACCGUCAGACAGAGGAAGGGGGUUCAGUGCAAAGAUUCUGUUGACCUAGGGUUGACUGCAUAUGUCACUUGUUCGCAAUCUAAUAUUUAUUUUAUAUUUUGAAAAAUUUAAUGGGUAAUCCUAAUUGUUUGUUUUGGCAGGUAUGUGUUGUUAUCUCCUUCUAUCUUACAGUCGUACCUAAAUAGCAUAGUUUCAUCUGUGUUACCAUGUGAUGUACAUAAUUUCACAUUUGCCUCAGAUUAAGCUUAAUUUCCCACAGAAUAGAGCUGUCGCGACUGGACUUAGUUUGAUGUCCAAAGAGGUAAAUUAUUGGCAUGCCUAGAUAAUUUGGCCAUUUCCUAAUUCAUAAGUCUACAUUAAUUUUGAUUUUGAGUUGACUGAUUUCUUUUCAAGGUCUGCUUCCUUAACGGAGUGACCAAUGUUUUUCAACUAAAUUUAUCAUAUGAUGCAGGAAGCAGGGCAGGAUAUGAAAUGAGAAGCUCAUUGGUGGAAGUAUUGCCAGUAGCAGAACCCAAUGAAAAUGAAACUAUUUCAAGGCAGCAGUUGGCAGUUGCAAGUGAAUGGAGGCCCUUGACAAAAUUCUCAAGCAGUUGCAAUGCAAUUACGAUCAUCCUCAGCCUCAGGUAAUUUCUUCUCCUGCUUUGUUUUUAUUUGUUAUCUAAUUAGGAAGCAUAAAGUAUCUUGAAUCAUUUUCUGUAUCUGGAAUAUAUGCAAGAGUUUCUAAAAUUUUGAUAUGAGUGUAAUGAUGGUAAUUUCUGUUUUCUGUCUGUCAUCAAAUGUUAGAAAACUUUCAUUGAGACCCUUGAACCGAGUCAUUUUUGACAAGUGAAGUGCCGAAGAGUGAAGAGUAAGAAUGGUGCUAGAUUGGGGAAUAAAGCAAAAGGAGGUAAAUUAUUGGCAGCUUCUUCAGCCUUAUUUUCUUUGGACCAGUGCCUAAUUCACAAGUCUCCAUAAUUCGGCUUUUGACCAGUUGAUAGAUAAAAUUUUAAUUUCAUUGGUGCUAAUGUACCCGUGAAGCAGGCAGAGAAGGACUGUGGAAAAGAGAAGGUUUUUAGUGAAAGCUUAAACGCAGGUAAUUCUAUAAAUUAUAUGUUUUUGCUGAUUUAUCUAAAUCAGGAAAUUUUAUUUCCAUCUGUUACAAUAAAACAGAAACAGAACACAAAGAAAAAUAGUCUACCUCUUGUGGCAAUCUUGCCUUCAUUCAGACUAUGAAACCAUUUCCUUUCACCAAUUUCUUCCAAAAGUUUGAACACGUUUCAUGGUUGGACAUAGUUAGCUUCUUUUUCUUUUGGUGCAUUUAGGUGCUAUCAAGUGACAGCCAUAAGUAUGAUUGCAUUAUUGGGAAAUUUUAGGUUUUGAUGGCUCCCCAUGUUAUUGCCAAGAAAUUUUAAGUCCUCAUGUCAGAAGCUGCGUUUCUUUUCAUCAGCCUGAACCCGAACUGAGGUUUUUGUCAUCAACUAUAUCAUCUUUUUCACUGUUUUGAAACUCUUAAGAUUAAACUUCAGUAAAGUUGUUUCAGUUAUCCAUGUAAUCAGGCUAAGGAUAUUUAGCAGCUUAUUUAGGCAACUGCCAGAAUUCAGUUUGUUUGCUCGAAACUUGUAUGGUGACAAGGAUACUGGCAAGGAUAGUGAGAUAGAUUUUUGUGUGAGUGAAUUUUGAAAGCUUGGGUGUUCUGGGAUUUGCAAUUGCAAUCAUCCUCUGCUUUAGGUGAUUUCUUCUCCUGUUCUGUCUUUAUUUUCUCUCUAAUUGAAAGCAUAAAGUAUUUCAAUCAAAUUCUGUACCAGGAAUACGAAAAACUUACUAAUAUUUUAUUUCCAUCUGUUUGCAUUGAUAACUUGGCCGCAUAUGUACUAGUUAAAGAACAAACAGAAGCAGAGUUCAGGAAAAAGUUUCUUCGGCCACCAUAUUUGAAAAUGAAACCAUUUCCAGGAAGCAGUUGGCAGCAAAUUCAUACAAAGUACAGACAAUGAUGAGCAAAAAGGUGAUUCGCAAUUUCAUUUUUUAAAAAUGAAAUUAUUUGUUAAGUUGGAGCUGAUAUUGUUAGAAGGCCAUUGAGCUAACCUAUGACACUACUUGCCUAGAUUGCAGGAGGUCAAGACUCAAAAGAUGCACUGAAUUUUAAAAGGCAUGCAAUAAUUCUUAUGGCCAUUUGUCAAUGGUGGAAUGCUUUUAGCUUCUUUUCCUUUCGUGCAUUUUGGGGUUCUAUCAAGCGACAGCCGUAUGCAUGGAUGGAUAUAGCCGCUGCGUUGAUUUCUAAUGCGUUGUAUGAUGUUAUAGCAACUAUCCAUCUGGUCAAUGUUUCAAAAGAAUAAAACACAGGGAAAAAGAGAAAGCAAGUGGCCAAUCAAGUAUUCAUGUCCCAAAGAAAAGAAUGAUUCGACAAUAGCAUUAAGGGUUAAUUGGACACAAGAGAAGUGUUUUAACCACUUCAAGGAAUGUAAAUGUAAUUUUCUAUUCUGAAGAAAAAGUAAAUAUAUGCACUGUCAAUUAAUCUUUGGUCAACCAGCAACAUUCAUAAUUUCGUGUAAGUUUCAUUUCUGUUUGUUGGAAAUAGCAGUGUAUUUCUUAGAGUUUGUAAAAAAUGGAAAGAUUUUAAAAUAUAAAUUUCACAUCUGUUUAUUACUGUUGUUUGAUCUAUUUUCUUAUGUAGAAUUUUCGGAAUCUGUAGGACAUUAAUUUAUAAUUUUGAGAUUUUGUAGCCAUAAAUGUUUUUGUUCUUUUUUUCUUUUUUUUGUUGGCAUUUUAUUUUGCUCCUUUAUCUAUAUGCAUGUUGACUAAAGCUAAUCUAGAAUCAAUAGAGAGGGAUAUUUAUCUAUUUUGUUUAACAUAAGAGUGCUGUAUAAUUUUUCACUAAAUACACCUACAACAAACUAUUAAUAAUAAAGUGAUAGAAGAAUGCCUAAUUUUUCGUACUUUUUAAUUUCUUUCAGCCCUAAAAUAUAGGUAUUAAUGUCAUAAUAAGCCCAUGUGGAUCUCAGUGCCGCAAGUUCGAUAAAUGGCUAUCAAGGAUUACUUAUUAAGUCAAAAGUAUUCAAAGGACAAAAUGGUAAAACUAUAAGGGUGGAGUAAGAUGGCUACCUUGGGUUACAUAGUAAGUCGACUACAUUCAAAGGAUAAAAUAUUAGAACCUGAACGGCGGAGUAGUCGUCGUUAGAACCUGAACGGCGGAGUAAUCGUCGUUAGAAUCUGAAUGAUAUGUCUAAGACGUUGCAUGCAUCAAGAAAAUUGCAGAUGAUUAAACCUUGCCAUCCAUGCGUUGUAUGAGGUUAUAGCAACUAUCUAUCUGGUCACCGUUUUAAAAGAAUAAGACAAAGGGAAAAAGAGAAAGAAAAGAAUGAUUCGACAAUGGCAUUAAAGUUCAACGUACCCCAAGAUCUUGUAAUAAUGCCAUUAAUCAUUCUCUAGCUAGGCUAGCCUUAGAGAAAAGUGAAACUGUUGCACAGGUAGAAUCACACCCCUCAGAGAUAAUGUAUUUAUUCAGCUCUUCGAAUGAAUGAAGUUUAUUUUCUCGUCAAAAAAAAAAACUGCUCGCUCCGCUGGUUUCAUACAAUGUCAACUAGAAACAUCAUACUUUCGUGUAAGUUCAUUUCAGAAUAUUUCUUAGAGUUUGUAUAAAAUGAAAAGAUUUUAAAAUAUAAAUUUAAUAUUUGUUUAUUACCGUUGUUUGGUCUAAUUUCCUCGGGAGAAUUUUCAGAAUUUAUAGGACAUUAGUUUAUAAUUUUGAAAUUUUGUAACCUAAAUGAUUUUUUUUUCGGUUACCAUUUUGUUUUCCUGCUUUAUCUACGUGUAUGUUGACUAAAACUAAUCUAUUUUGUUAAACCUUUACCACUCUAGACAUUGCACUAAAUAUGAGUUCGUGAUGCUUGCAUUUUAUUGAUGCUGAUGAUUCGUUGAAUGUUUUAUGUUUUUGAUUUUUAAGUAUUCCGGAUCGAAGUUUGUGUCUACGCGGAAAUUGUAAAGGCAGCAUAUAAAGUACUCGUCGUUCUUUAGAUUUUAUUGAGUACACUUUUGUCACAUUUAGCGUAUGCUAUACACUACUGAUUUGCGCAUUGACAUAUAUCUUUUUUUUUUAUGAGAGGGGGCUCGUCAAAACGAGCUAAACAGGAACAAACCGGGGGUUAGAAAUCCCAAACAAGUCUUGCGAAAUGAUAGAAUAAACACCCAUAGGAGGGUUAGAGAACACAUGGAGGCCAAGAGGAGCUGAAUGAGCCAUAUUAGCCAUGAAAUCCGCAGCUGAGUUUGCUUCGCGAUAAAUAUGGGUGAUAGCAGUCUGCCAAUUUCUACUUAGUAAUUCCCGGACAGCUGAUAAUAAAGCAGUGAACGCAUUAGGAACAACCACCUGCUUAGAAAUCAUUUGUGUAAUACAAAUACUAUCCACUUCCACCAACAACCGUUUUAUGCCUACAUCCCAAGCAAGAAUUAGGCCCUGAUACAGCCCCCAAAGCUCAGCCAUAAGCACUGACCUGUCCCCAAUUUUCAUACAAAAGCCGGAUACCCAAUGACCAACUGAGUCUCGAAUAACACCUCCCGCUCCUGCUUCCCAAGUAUUUUUACAGGAGCCAUCUGUAUUUAAUUUACACCAUGGCCAAGGCGACGGCAGCCAAUGAAUAUAAAUCUCCUGUCUCCUCGGCUGCUGGCUUAGGCAAGAAUUAUUUACUCUGCAAAUUUCUUUAGCUCUCGCCAUAACAUCCAUAUAGAUUGUUAGACUAUCCACCAGCUUUCCCUCAAAGAAAAAAUGGUUCCUCCAGAACCAUAGCCUCCAAACUACCACACCAAAGAUACAAUCCCAGGGGAGGGGAGACCCAAUCUUCCAUUUAUUUUGCAGGUUCCCAGCAAUCCAUUCUCGUAAGUUCGAAUUGAAGAAAGUGUUAUGACUGGCCAUCGGAACAAGCUUCCGCCAAACCUGCUUGAUACAGCUGCAGUCUCUCAAUGCAUGGAGGAUAUCUUCAACCGCACCCCCACACCUAUCACAAUCCUCAGGAACAUUAAUAUGGCGCCUAACAAGUUCAUCACGAGUCUUGAGUUUCCCAUGCAUAAGCUGCCAAAGAAAAAGGCGGAUGGAUUGAGGCCCCUUCCAACUCCAUGGAAGCUUCCAAUUUCUGUCAUGAACAGCAGCUUGAUGAUAGCAAAGUGAUUCAUAAGCUGACCGAACCGAAAACAUGCCGCUUGGAUCAAAGCCCCAGUAAAUAAUAUCAGCCCCAAGAUGAGGAGCCGGAGGCAAGACUGAAGCAAUCUGCAUGAGAAUACCAUGCGGCAGAAGAUGCUCAAAGCUCGACCAAUUCCAUCCCCCAUGCCCAUUCGUAAAGUCACUCACAGUGGCAUUGAUAAGCUCGUGAGGAAUCGGCAAGAUGGCAAGGCUGAUCAGAGGAUAUUUCGUAGCCCAACAAUCAACCCAGAAUCGAGUUCUAACACCAUCACGAACUGACCAGCGAGCUCCCUGCACUGUUGCCAACCACGUGCUACGAAUAGCCCUCCAAAUCUGAGAACCCGGUUUGUCUGAAAGAGACAUUGGUAGGUUGCGAGACUCCAAACCAUAUUUGGAGCAGAAGACUUGCACCCACAGUUUAUCCGAAUUGGAAACAACCUCCCAGCUCAAUUUCAUCAACAUCGCCUGAUUCAUUUCGUCCAUUUUUUUGAAUCCCAGGCCUCCAUGUUUUUUCGGCUUGCAAAUUUUGUCCCACCCCACCAUACUCAUCUUGUGACUCUUUGAAUUCCCAUCCCAAAUAAAUCUUCGACAAGCUUUGUCUAUUUUAUGUCUCACUGGAGAAGGAAGUAAGGUCGUUUGCAUGGCAUAAACAGGCAUUGCUUGCAGGACUGAUUGAGCCAGAGUGACGCGUCCAGCAAAAGAUAGAUGAGCCGCGUUCCAACCAGUUAACCGCUUAUCCACUUUAUCAAGGAUGGAUUGAUACGUGUAUUUAUUAACCCGCGAAUGGAUUAAGGGCAUUCCAAGAUAAUCACCCAAAUUAUUUGUGGCCGAAACUCCCAAAGUCGAGCCUAUGAUAUUGGCAUCCCGAGAAGCGACAUUUUUUGAGAAGAAAACUUUAGUUUUCAUUUUGUUGACUUUUGCUUCCGAACUCCUACAAUAAUUAUCCAGAACAGCAUCUACGACAUAAGCUUGAUCAAUUGAAGCUUCCGCAAAUAAAAGCAAAUCAUCUGCAAAAAAGAGAUGCGUUAAAGGAGUUCCAUAUUUGGCCAACCGGAUAAGCCUCCAUCUCCUCUCCAUCACCGCUUGGGUUAUACCAUGGCUUAACCGUUCAAUGCACAGAACAAAAAGAUAAGGCGAGAGGGGAUCGCCCUGACGGAUACCCCUUCCCGGAGUGAAAGCUUAUGUCGCCUCGCCAUUCCACAAAAUACGCAUACUAGCUGAAGUUACGCAUUCCAUGAUUAGUCUAGAUAAGUGAAUUGGAAUACCAGUCUGGUUAAGCGUAUCAAAAAUGAAAUCCCAACUGAGCCGGUCAUAAGCCUUCUCAAGGUCGACCUUAAUGGCCAUAAAUCCUUUCCUGCCAGUUUUUCUGCGCAUAGAGUGAACUACUUCCUGAGCCACUACAAUAUUAUCUACUAUAUGCCUCCCAGGAACAAAGCUCGUCUGAUUGGGGCUUAUUAGAUUGGGCAGCAGUGUUUGCAAUCGAGUGGCUAUAAUUUUAGUCACCGUCUUGUAGGCCACUGUGUAUAGGCUUAUGGGCCUAAACAUCUUUAAGCUAGUGGGGUGCUCCUCUUUAGGAAUCAAAACCAAGAGGGUAGUAUUUAUCUCUUGCGGCACCUUCCCCGUUGUAAAAAUAUCAUGAAUAAACCUGCAAAACGACGGACCAACCACAUGCCAUUGGGAUUGAUAAAAUAUAGCGUGCAAACCAUCCGUACCUGGGGCUUUCAGCGGCUUCAUGCUAAACACAACGUUCCGAAUUUCCUCCCUCAAAAUUGGGGCUGCAGCCCCAUCUACGUCAUGAGAAUCCAAGGCUGGGAAAAAGUUUGGAGCAUGGUAAUUCCGAUAAGUUGCAUUAUCACUUGUAAAUAGGUCAGAAAAAUACCCCACUACAUGCCUCCUUAUAUCCUCCUCAUCAUAUAGCCAAUUCCCCGAACAGUCUCGGAUGGCCUCAAUUCUAUUCCGCCGCCUUCGAGCAAUGGUUUUUUGGUGGAAAAAAUUCGUAUUUCUGUCCCCAUGCAGAAGCCAAUCCUUUCGAGAUUUCUGAAGCCAAAGAAUUUCCUCCGAUUCAUCACCAUUUCGAGCUCAUUUUGCAUGCGGGCUUAUAAGCGCAACAAACUGUUAGAGCUAUAAUUCUCUAGAGUAGCUUGAAUUCCAUUAAUCCGAGCCAUAAGCCGGCGUUUUCUCUGAAAGAUAUUCCCAAACACAUCUCGAUUCCAAGCUUGAACCUCCUGGACAAAAUGAGAGGCUGCUGCACUAUAAUGGAUUUGCGGAUUCCACACCCGCUUAAUAAAGUUAUGAAAAUGCUCGUGAGUUAACCAAGCAGCCAAAAAGCGGAAAGGCCUGUUCCUCCUGUGACCGGCCACAGCUCUCUCAAACCGAACCAGCACCGGCCUGUGAUCCGAGGCAACCUUCGGGAGGUGGAGGACAGAAUUAUUCGGAUACUUAUGUAGCCAAUCACUAUUGCACAGAGCUCUAUCAAGCCGUUUAAAGAGCAAUCCACGUGACCAAGUAAACCUUGGACCUUUAAACUUUAAAUCAAAAAUUUGGUGCCCAUCAAACCAUUUCCGAAACAGAUUACACACUCCUGGGUUCCUGGCCUCACCCCCCUGCUUUUCAGAGGCAUAUAAGAUAGAAUUGAAAUCCCCACCUAUCAGCCAAGGGCCUCGAAUUGAAGGCGCAAGGUUCUCCAUAUGGCUCCACAACUGUCUCCUUAGCAUUGGAUUUGGGCUGGCAUACACAGCCGUUACCCAAGACACAAAGGUCUUAUUCAUACAAAAUUUAAAGUGAAUGAACUGCCUAUGAUUAAUUAAGACUUCCACCUCUAUGGAAUUUCGCCAAAGAAGCCAAAUUCCUCCAGAAAAACCCACAGCUUCCACCCGGUGCGAAUACUCAAAUCCACUUUUCUUUAUAAAGUCAUCGGCUUUAGCACCACUAGUGCGAGGUUCCAUUAACACCACCAUCGAUGGAUUGUAGUUUUUAAUAAUUGUUUUAAACGAGCGCCUAAAUACCCCCGAGGCUGCCCCUUGUACAUUCCAGAACAUGAUACUAGCUGACAUAAUAAAAAUAACAGGAGAGAAACAAACGUCUACUGCUGCUGUCCAAGGACUUCCUCCAUCCACGCCAAUGGCGUUUCUUGAACCAUCUCAACUUCAUUCUCAACCAUCCCAUCGCCAUCAACACCAUUUAUAGGUACAACUGGAUGGUUAUGAGCACUGUCACCUUCAUUCACCCGAUGGAUGGUUUGAUCAUCUGGAGGGUCUGCUACUUGUUGUGGAUCCGGACCUUGCCUCUCUAUGUGUUCCGCGGUCACGUCCCUUUCAUCACCAUUAGGAAGGGUUUGGGAGGAGCAAACAAACACUGUGUGUUUAGAGGGGUCCAGGGUGGUUGCGAAUGGUGCCACGAGUUGAUUGCUAGAAGCUUUCUGAGGGAAAAUAUGGGGUUCAAAGCUUCGGUUUGCAUGAGGUAGGAUGGAUAUUUCCUUCUCUCUGGUGCUGAAGACACUAGGCUGGAGAGGGUUACAGGUAGGAGUUACUGGGACGUUUGGUUUCCUGCUCUGAUUCCUUGCUGCCACGGCCUUAUUUUGCGGCUUACGACGAGCCAUAGUCUUUGCUGAGGUAUCUGCUCUGGCUGUGAAAGUAUGGUUUGAUGCGGGCAUGAAAGGUUGCCGUGAGGUGGAAGGGAAGUCUGGGCAAGCCUCAUGCACAUGGUUUCCACCUUCAUCCGAGACUUUGGAUAAUAUGUGAAACCGUGAGGUACCAGCUCCAGUAAACUCCCUAUUACGGUUUGAGUCUCCAGUGUUCUCCUUACCAAUAUUCGGCUUCCUUCCUCUCCUAGUGGCAAUCAUCCAGGGUCCGAAUAGUUCCACAUUAUUAUCACCAUUACUACCUACAGCCUGCUGGCCAGGAGCCUCAUUUUCCGGCACUGCCUGUUGGGGUUGACCAGCAUCUUCAGGGCUUGUCGAACUCUUAGCAUCCUUACAGUUGCUGCUACUAUGCCCGUAAGAUUCCACACUUAUAACAAAUUACUGGCAAUCCCUCGUAUUCCACCUUCUGGAUCUUCCCAUCCAAUUCAAACUGAGAUACCAGCGGCCUUGUUAACGAGAUACUUACUGCAAGACGUGCAAAUCUUCCACGAGAUGAGGAGGCUGUAUUCGAAUCGAUUUUAAUCACGUUACCCACUAACUGACCCAGCUUCUGUAGAACUUUUCGAUUAUAAAGAUGAACCGCAAGGCCUGGUAAACAGAUCCAUACCGUGACUUGAUCAAGAUCCGCAUUUGUGAAAUCAAAAGAGGGUGUCCAUGGCUGCACAGUUAAAUAUUGACCCAUUAUAAGCCACGGUCCCUUAGUUAAAACAUCCAUAGCAUCCCCUACCGAUCUGAAACGAACCAGAUAAUAAUUGUUUUCCAAGUCAAUCACGGAAAAACCCAUGGCUGAUUUCCACAUGACAUUUAAUCUUGCACACAUAGCUCUAUAGCCAAUUGUGCGGCCAAGCAACUUCACAACCACCGAGUUCUUCCAAGGCUCACUUAACUUAGCAUGAACCCUAGCCGAAAAAGUGAUGGAUGGCAUGGGUCCCUCGUUAGUUUCAAUAAUGUCUCCUUCCUCAAAAUCCCAGUCCUCUAGUCCACCUCCAAUUCCUUGCUCCAUCGCUUGUGUUGCAUUCACUAGGGUUUCUUUGUACGAAAACUGUACAGUGGUAUCCCCAGCAUGUUCUUCAUCACGAAAUCUUGCUUUUUUAAUCGUUCUAGCCUCCCUAAACGGCGGGGGAAAAAUCCCUCCGGAGUUAGGGUUUCCUUCACGUCCGAGGUUUUCGGAGCCUUCCAUAUGGUGUUGAUCUUUUUAAGUCACUCGUUUCAAUAUUUCAUUUAUUUCCUUUUCAAGCUAACAAUUAAUGUAUAUGAAUGUGCGGAUGCAUUGACAUAUAUCUUAUUUUAUCAUUUUGAAUGAAUUGCACGGCGAGGCUUAUCAACUUUGGAUGAAUCCUCCAAUUGUCGCAGUCCAAGACUGGCUGCAGUGAGUGAAAAUUUACCCAUAUAUAUGCUGGCUAUUUUUAUUGGCGACGAAUUCGUUGUAGUUGGUCCAUCUUGCUAUUCUCGGACAAUAUUAGAGAAAAUAAUCAUAUUAUUUCGCGUGAUGUGACCUUCCAUAACGUAUCAAUUGAAUUACUGUAAAAUUAUUGUGUAAGUUUAGGCCCAAUGGCACUUUAGUUCAUCACAUGAUAGCCUGGAUUUAAAAGGAAAACUAUAUUGCAUUGCUUCAAAAAAAAAAUUUAAUGUUUUUAAUAUGAAUAUUUUUAACUAUAUUCAGUUAAAAUAAUAUAUUCUUAAUAUUAAUAUUCAUAGAUGAAAUUCUUUUGCGGAUUUAAGAAUAAAAUAUCAAAUAGUUUUAUUUUUCUUUUGUUGUGUAACUUGGACCGAAAAAGAAAAUGAGCUUAACAUGACCCUCCUUCCGGCACUAUGCAUGUUUUUCUUUUAUUUUUCUUGUAUUGAUGACAGUGCUCUUGGUGCUUCUCAUCUGCUUCUUGCUUUGGUUUCAAACAAGUCUUUCUCCGUCGAGACAUUUAUUGUAAUUUGAUUUGGAGACAUCUGUCGUUCAAAUAUAUUUCAUAUGCAAGCUGUUGAUAAUUCUGCUUGAGAAAGCCUUCAAAGCAGCUGUGUGAUGUAAUAGAAGACUAUAUAUGCAAGCGGGUACCGAGCUCGAAUUCUUUCUUGAGUUUCUUUGAAUUAUUUGUGAAUGAGUUCUUAAUCGGCUGCUGCUCUUCAGGAAAAGGAAAGUGUUGCAAACUGGUGAAGCUGAUCGAUAAAAGCAAUGUACCAUCUUUGCUGCCAUGGAUCGAUGCCAGUGAGUUUUUUAAUUUGUCAACCUUUUUAAUAAUGCAUAUGUGUUUCUUCAACUUGAAGCGGCAUUUAAGACGAAAGAAGUGAUCUUUAAAGCAUUCUAUAGCAUUAUCCUUUCCUAUUAUAUAUAUCCAAUUGCUCCAAAUUAUUUGUAAAUUACUGAACACGAAUGCUGAUGAAUAAACUGAUGGCUCUAUGUAUGUAUGCACAUGCAUGGAGAAAUUUUAAGUCAGACAUUCCCAUAUAUAACUCGUGCUACCAAAUCAUUAAAUAAUCUUGAAAUCAAAGUAAUAAUUAAAUACAAAUAAAUUGCUCGAAUUGUACAUAUAUCUGAAUCAUGUAGUGAAGAAAAUACAACAACAACAACCAAUGGCUCAAAUUCCCCAUCAACUUCUAAUCUCAACACUUUUGAGUGUCAGAAGCAUUACUCUGCUACCAGUUAACAAACAUAUAAUUAGUAAUUUGCCAUUCACUUCCCUUUUAGGCCUAACACAUUUUCUAUAAAGGAGCCACAGAGUGAACUCAGCAGGAAACACUCAAUUUCAACCUACGUAGGACCAGGAAUUUCAACCAAAAAAAAAGUGUGCAAUUGCUUAUCCUAUCCUAUUGCUACUAGAAAGAAAGUGAACAAUUAAUUUCAGUGAAUAAAUUAAAAAAAAUUACUUCUGCAGAUACUCAAGCUAAGAACACAUUAACCCAUUAAAGACUCCAAAUUGCAUCAAACAAAUUGUUGUUAAACAAGUAAAACAAAGAAAGAGAGUUAAGGAAGCUGACCUAGUAGUAGGGGAGCUGAAGAAAGACUGCCAGUGAAUGUAAGAGAAAAUAAAAUGCAAUAAAUGGUGAAGUGCAGCUUUUCAUGUCAACUUGAAAUUGUUUCUUCUGUUUUUUUUUUUUUUAAUCUUUUGGAUUUUUAAAACAAAGAAAAUGAGGAGCAACCAGGGAGAUAAAAAGGGCGCCAAGGCAACUGUGUGUUGGGUUUAGAGCCCAAAAAAAAAGGAGGAUAAGACAUCGUGUUCUUGUGGAGACCAGACCUAUUACGUAACGUCCCCUUCAAUACCACUUGUUCCGUAUCUGGUUUUUUCUUCGUCUUUUACAUAUUUAUCCUGUGAUUUUACAAUAACUAAAUAAUCCCCGCAUAGUUUGCAAUUUUAUUCAUUUGAGCCCUACAGAUUUCAGUAAUAGGUAGAGUUGGCAAAACGGGUCAUCGGGUCGUGUUCGUGUCAUGUCAAAUUUAAGUCGACCCAAACCCGACCCAUUUAAUAAUCGUGUCAAAAUAUUGAGACCUAAAUCCGACACGGAAAAAUAAUCGGGUUACCCAAUAACUCGUUUAAUAUCAAUAUAUUGAACAAAAGUUACAUCAAAUAUUUACACACUAUCAUACAUACAUACAUAAUUUAUCGAUAUUAUAAAAUAUAUAUAUCUACUAAUAUAUUACACAUUUACACUAUUGAGGUUUUAAUUAUAUAUAUAUAUAUAUAUAUACCUACGAUGAUUGUUUAAGCCGCGGUAAACGCUUCUAGAACGCCCUCUGGCAGGAAGGAAGGUACUCAAAGAAAGUGGAGAUGAGGGAAACUCCGCUGGAGUGAGGGGAUUUAUCGGAAUCUCGUUCAGAGUGAGGAGUCAAUGAGGGUUUGCUUGUACUUGUGGUUCUAUUGAUAGGUGUUUGCAAUGGGCUUUCGUCUCAGGUAGUUCAGUCUCCGGGGUUACGCUUAGUUUCAUAUAAAAUAAAUGAAGAAGACAGCUGGACUUCAGAGUGGGAUCCUCCUAUGUUGUCGGCUGUUUGUUUGUCCGCAGCUAUUACAGCUUGUGCUCGAAUAUAUAUGUAUCCAUAUAUUUCCAGAUAUUAUAUAUCAAUAUAUAUAUAUAUUAUUUAUCAAUAUUAUAAAAUCUACAUAUCUAUCAAUUUUUUCACAUUUACACUAUUGAAGCUCUAAAUGUAUUUAAAAUUUUAUAAAUAAAAUAUUAUGUUUAUAUUCACCCUUUUAAAGAAUAAAAAAGAAAAUCAUUACUAAUAUUUGAGUUUUAAUGAUAAGAAUAUGUAAAUUAUUUUAAAAUAGAAAAUAUAAUCGGGUCAUUGAUCGGGUAAAUGGGUCAAGAAUUUUAACUCUAACCCGACACGGAAAAAAAUCGUGUUGACCCGGACCCGACCCAUUUAAUAAUCGUGUUAAAUUUGACGACCCAUAUUCAUUUAUUUAUGUCGUGUUCGUGUCGAGUAAUCGGGUCGUGUCAAAUUUUGCCAGCUCUAGUAAUAGGAAUUAUUAAGGGACAAGAGCGCAAAACAAAAACUCUGUCCACUACUGAUGAUAUAACAACGAACCUUUGUUUUUUUCUUCUUUUUUUUUUACAAAAUAUCAUUAGAGAAAUGAAAAUAUUAACUAACAUCACCCUACUGAUGAUAUAACAACGAACCUUUGUAGUUUCUGCCUGUUAAUAUGAAUUGAUCAGGAGUGUUUCCUCACUUAAAAAUUACGAAUUUACAAAUAUGUAUGUAAGUAUGUAUGUAUGUACGUACGUACGUGAGUAUGUAUGUACAUAUAUGCAUACACCUAUGUAACAUUUACUUAUCCAUCCUUUUGAGUUUAAAACUUAAUACACAUUUUCAUGAAAUUUUUAUUUUAUUAAGUAUACAACUACAGUAAUGUAUAUAUUUUUUAUAUAAGACAUGCCGUCAUAUUAUUCAUAAGUAAAACAAUGUGUUGUAAAUAGUUUAAUUAUUAAAUAUCAUACAAUAUCUUUCAACAACCGGCAAUAGACCUUUACCCAUUUUUCUUUUUCGACCAUUAGAUUCAUUCAGUUUACAUCCAACGGCAGUUUAGGAUGGAGACAAAAAGUGUGGUACGUUACCACAGUGGUAACAUUGGAUUGGGAUUGUAUGUCGUGUUUAAUUUGAAUUGGUUGAUUCCUCUAAUGAAUUAUUUUGAUAAAUUUAGUAGCAGUAUUUGGCGGCAAAAGUAUCAUUAAUUUUUGGAAAUAUGAUUAUGUUAUUAAUUAUUUUAGCAUUCUAAAAAGUCAAUGGUUAUGUUGGAAAUACUCUAAGGUAGAAUAGAGUACAAAUCACAGUCACACAUACAAAAUGAUAAAUAAUAAAAAAUAUAUUAUAUUUUUGAUCAUAUGAUUAUGAAGACGUAUUUUACCUUAAAGAAGUUCUAAUAAGCGAAUUCUUCUAAAACAAUAUAAAAUUUCUUUUUUAUCAUACUCAACCGCUUCAAACUUCUAAGAAGUAGAUAUACAAUGAGUGGAAUACUGAAUUGAGUGCGAGCUGCGGAUAAUAUAUAAAAUUGGGAUACAAGCUUCAAGGAAAGUGUAUUGCUAUUCAAAUGUAGAUUUCAAAUUAAGAAGAUAUGCCAGCAAAUUGUAUAAAAAUGUAUAAAUUGAUCAGUAACAUUAAUUCCAAAUGAUGAAAUGAGUUAUCUUGAUCAAAAGGUCAAGAACCUACCUUACUUCUCUUAGAGAUAACUUGCAUCAACCGUUGUGGUAUUGAUACUUGUCUUCAGCUAGUAAAAGACUAAAAGUGAAAGUUUCACAAUUGAAAUAAAGCUAAGGGAAGAUGCUAUGCUCCAUUUAUUAUUAUUAUUAUUGAUGUGGUCGAGAAGUAAAGCCAUGCAUAUGAUGAAGUAUAAAUAAGAAUGCAAUAGCCCGGAAUUCAUUUACACAAACACUUCAAUAUCCUUUUGAUCACUUUUGCAAACAUCAGUUUGUCUCUUGUAUUCACCAUGGUUGAUGCCAUCGUUUCCUCUCUUGUGGAGCAGCUGACUUCCUUCGCUGCUAAAGAGAUAAUACAACAGGUGAUCGAAGUUACACCCCCCAUAUUAUAAAUACUUCUAAUGAUUUUAAUUGGUUUUGUUUUUAUCGGAAACAUUAACUUUGCUUUAUUUUAUUUAUUUAGGCAUUUUAAAUUUUAAAAUUUGAAUUGAAUUCAAUUAAAAUGUGAUGUAGCUAGUAACCACUUUUUUUAUUUCAUUUAUAUUCUCAAUAACUACCCAUAUUUUGGUAACUUACUGUAACCCCCGUAUCUAAGAAAUGAUUAAAACCCACAAUUUUAACUCCACAUAAAUAUUCCAUGUUGAGCUAAGUUUUUGCAUAACAUUCAAGUUUGUUAAAUAGUCAUUAAUUUAAUGUUUAGUAAAAACUUAUCUCUGAAAAUUUUCAUAAUUUUCUUACAUUCUUUGAGUUUGGUGAGUGACUUCAUAUAAUUUCUUUUCAAUUUAAAUUUUAAUUUGGUUUCUGAUAUAGUCUCUUUACUGAAUUUAUAUCUUUUAUGAUUCUUGGAUUUUGGGCUCCAACUUUUUAGGAUUUGAUAGUCACAUUUUAUGGCAUGCUUAGAUUGAUUUUCAUGAUUUGAGUACUCGUUAAGUGACUGAGAAUUUGACAAAAGUUUGAAAGGAAAUCCGUUUCACGAUUCUUAUGUGGAAGGUUCGUAAAAUCAUGAAAUUUGGAUAGGAUUCGCUAGCAAUAUGUACAAGACUCUUCAUGAAGUUUCAUAAUUUUUCGUUCGGUCUGGGGUGGUACAGGUGAAACUUGUGGUUGGUGUUAAAGAAGAAGUGAAAAGCCUUAUCAGCCACCUUCAAGCCAUUCAAGCUGUGCUCGAUGAUGCAGAGGAAAAGCAAGUGAAGGACAAAGCUGUUAGACAUUGGCUGGGCAGGCUCAAGUAUGCAUCCUACGACAUUGAAGAUGUGUUGGAUGAGUGGAUCACAGCUAGACACAAAUUGCAAAUUGAGGGUGGCGUUGAUGACAAUGCUCUUGCUGCUCCUCAAAAGAAAAAGAAGGUAUGUUUCUGCUUUCCUGCCUCUUGUUUUGGAUUCAAACAAGAAGAAUUUGGUUUCAGACAAGUCUUUCUACGUUAUGACAUUGCCAACAAGAUCAAAGAAAUGAAUAAAGAGCUACAUGAUAUUGCCACUCAAAAAGACAUGUUUAAUCUUGUUAAGAGUGGCAAUAAAAGUGGUGAAAGACCAAGGCGUGUACAGAGUACCUCCUUGAUUGAUGAGGAAGAGAUUUGUGGUAGAGUUGGUGAGAAGAAUGAACUCAUAAGCAAGCUGUUGCGUGAGAGUAGCGAGCAACAAAAAGGCCUCCAUAUGAUCUCAAUUGUUGGUAUGGGAGGCAUAGGGAAAACUACUCUUGCACAACUAGCUUGUAAUGAUGACGUGGUGAAGAGAAAGUUCGACAAAAUUCUGUGGGUGUGUGUAUCAGAAACUUUUGAGGAGUUUAGGGUUGCCAAAGCAAUCGUUGAAGCUUUGGAUGGUCGUGAAUCUCAUUUAGGUGAAUUCCAAUCUCUUCUUAAACAUAUUGAUGAAUCCAUUGCAGGGAAGAGCUUUCUUCUUGUCUUAGAUGACGUGUGGGAUGGAAAUUACUUGAAAUGGGAACCAUUCUAUCGUUGUCUAAAGAAUGGUCUCCAUGGAAGUAAAAUUUUAGUUACCACACGUAGUGGGUCCGUUGCAUCCACGAUGGGAUCCAUAGAUAUUAUUCCCAUUGAGAAAUUAGCUGAAGAGGAAUGUUGGUUGUUGUUUAACAAGAUAGCAUUUUUUGGUAGGCCUAUCGAGGAACGUGAAAAAUUCGAACGAAUUGGGCGAAGAAUUGCUGGCAAGUGCAAAGGUUUACCUCUUGCAACAAAGACAAUAGGUAGUCUCAUGCGUUCUAAACAAACUGAAGAAGAGUGGAAAAGAAUUUUAAAUAGUGAUUUAUGGAAAGUAGAAGAGAUUGAGAAAGAUGUUUUGUCCUCUUUAUUGUUGAGUUACAAUGAUUUGCCAUCUAGAGUAAAAAGAUGUUUUUCAUAUUGUGCUCUCUUUCCAAAAGACUACGAUAUAGAAAAAGACAAACUAAUCACAUUGUGGAUGGCUCAAGGUUAUCUUAGUGCAGAAGAAGAUGAGGAGAUGGAGACUAUAGGUGAAGAGUAUUUUAGCAUCUUAGCUUCUCGCUCUUUCUUUCAAGAGUUUAAGAAAAGUUAUGAUAAUCGGAUUAUAGAGUGUAAGAUGCAUGAUAUGGUACAUGAUUUUGCCCGAUUUGUAAGUCAAAAUGAAUGUUUUUCGAUGGCAAUUAAUGGUAGUGAAGAACCAAACGCCACAAACUCUGUUGAUGAGAAGGUCCGUCAUUUAAUGUUAAUCUUUAGUAUAGAGGCUUCAUUACCUGUUUCCACUCCUAGAGUUAAAAGAAUGCGUACCCUCUUAAUUAACGAUAGUAGAUCUGAUCAAUCAUUAUUAAAUGGUGAGAUCCUAGAAGAAUUGUUUAGGGAAUUGACAAGUUUAAGGGCAUUAGAUUUUGACAAAUUGUACCACUCAAUUUGGUCUUCGACUCUGGAGAUUCCGAGAAACAUAGAAAAGCUGGUACAUUUAAGAUACCUUAAUUUGUCUUCUCAGAAAAUAGUGGAGCUACCGGAGACAUUGUGCGAGUUAUAUAAUCUAGAAAAGUUAGAUAUUAGUUUUUGUUUUGAUCUUAGAGAAUUACCUGAAGGGAUUGGGAAGUUAAUAAACAUGAAGCAUUUACUAAAUUAUGAUACUGAUUCUUUAAGGUACAUGCCAGUAGGGAUUGGGAGAUUAACGGGUCUUAGGACCUUGGAUGAGUUCCACGUGAGUGCAGGAGGAGCUGUUGAUGGUAGGAAAGCAUGUAGGCUUGAAUCUCUUAAAAACUUGGAACACCUUCAAGUAUGUGGUAUACGUAGACUGGGUGAUGUAUCAGAUGUGGGCGAGGCUAAGCGAUUAGAACUUGACAAAAAGAAAUACCUCUUCAGUUUGACCCUUGAGUUUGAUAAGAAGGAGGAAGAAGAAGGAGAAAGAAGGAAGAACGAGGACGAUCAACUUCUUCUUGAAGCCCUGCGACCACCUCUGGAUUUAAAGGAAUUAGAGAUACGGUUCUACCGAGGCAACACUGUUUUCCCCAGCUGGAUGACGUCAUUAACCAACUUAAAGAGUUUAAAACUCUCUUUCUGCGAAAAUUGCGAGCAGCUGCCUCCUUUGGGAAAAUUGCCGUCCCUUGAACAGCUCUUCAUAUCGUACAUGUCGAGUGUGAAAAGAGUGGGUGAUGAAUUUUUGGGGAUAGAAAGUGAUCAUCAUGGCUCAUCUUCAUCUUCAUCGGUUAUUAUUGCCUUCCCCAAAUUGAAAUCACUUUCAAUUGAGUUUCUGUGCGAAUUGGAGGAGUGGGAUUAUGGGAUUACAAGAACGGGAAACACCGUCAUCAACAUCAUGCCACGUCUUUCUUCCUUGACAAUUGCUCUUUGCCCCAAAUUAAAGGCACUGCCCGACCACAUUCAUCAAACGACAACAUUGAAGGAAUUGCACAUUUGGGAUUGCAGGCUUCUGGAAGAACGUUAUUGCAAGGGGGAAGGAGAAGACUGGCCUAAGAUAUCACACAUUCCCAACCUCCAUAUUGGGCAUUGACAAGUAAUUUCUUCUCUUACUCUGAUUUGCUUUGUUGUUGUUUUUAAUCUAAUUAAGAAGCGUAAAUAGCAUUUUGAAUCAAACUCUAUAUCAGAAAUCUGCAAUACUUACUUUCUAAUAUUCUGAUUUUCAUAUCCUAUGAAUAUACGAUUUUUAAUUUGUGAGAUGGGUAACGUUACUGUAAAAGAUUAUUAAUGCAAUAUGAGUAAUUCUUUUGCAGGACAAGUGACCUACAUUUAGUUUGGCUUUGGAGUUGAAUAAUAACCUUUCGGGAACUGGUGUGGACUGGCAAAGGAUGAUGAGAUAGUUUUUUGAGUGAGUAAAUUUUGGGAGCUUGAGUGUAUUGGGAUUUGCAAUUACAAUCAUCGUCUGCCUCAGGUGAUUUCUUCUCCUGCUCUGUCAUUGUUUGUUCUCUAAUUCAAAAGCAUAAAAUAUUUCAAUCAAUUUUUAUGCCAGGAAUAUGCAAAAGUUUCUAAUAUUUUAUUUCCAUCUGUCACAAGAUCAAACUGAAGCAGAACUCAAACAAAAGUAUGCUACUUCUUGCGGAAAUCUUGCCUUCGUUCAAAUUAUGAAACCAUUUCCAUGCAGCAAAUUCAUCCAAAAGUUUGAAUAAGUUUCAUGGUUGGACACUGUUGGCUUCUUUUUCUUCUGGGGUGCAUUUAGGUGCUAUCAAGUGACAGCUGUAAGUAUGAUUGCACUAAGCUGCUGCUGGGAAAUUUGAGGUUUUGAUGGCUGCCCAUGUUAUUUUCAAGAAACUAUUGAUGUAAGAAGCCGUGGUUCUUUUCAUCAGCUUGAACCUGAAACUGUCGCUAUGGAUAACUCAGGUUUUUGUUAUCAACUAUAUCAUCUUUUUCACUAUUUUGAAACUCUUAAGAUUAAACGUUAGUAAAGUUGUUUCAGCUAUUCAAAUGAAAAACUCAUUGAUUUGAGACUUCCUUCAUUAUUGUUUCUAAUUACAAUGCUAACGAUCCAGAUAAAAUAAUAUUUAAUCGGCGAAGGUGUCCCUUGGAAGUACAUCCUUCUUUUUCUUUUAUUAUAUAAAUUCUUGCAAUGAGCUUAGUCAAGAUGUUGUGCUAAUCAUGCCACUGCAUAUAAAUUCUCCAGAAGUUAAAAUCAAUAAAUUUUCUAUUAGCUCUAGUGCUUUGACCUAAAUGCUAUUCUAUAUUCUGAUUACAAUGUUUUAACCUUUAAAUUAACUACCCCUAGGUGUUGGAUUUUCUAGAACUUCAAAAUGAUUAAUGGAGAAAGAUCCCAUUAUCGUUAUUGCUAUAAGAAAUUGAUUUAUGCAUCCAAAGAUACAUUAUAUAUUUCUGUGUCUCUAUUUAUAGAUGACAUUUAAGCAUCCAUAAACCGUCAGACAGAGGAAGGGGGUUCAGUGCAAAGAUUCUGUUGACCUAGGGUUGACUGCAUAAUGUCACUUGUUCGCAAUCUAUUAUUUAUUUUAUAUUUUGAAGAAUUUAAUGGGUAAUCCUAAUUGUUUGUUUUGGCAGGUAUGUGUUGUUUUCUCCUUCUAUCUAACAGUCGUACCUAAAUAGCAUAGUUUCAUCUGUGUUACCAUGUGAUGUACAUAAUUUCACAUUUGCCUCAGAUUAAGCUUAAUUUCCCACAGAAUAGAGCUGUCGCGACUGGACUUAGGUUGAUGUCCAAAGAGGUAAAUUAUUGGCAUGCCUAGAUAAUUUGGCCAUUUCCUAAUUCAUAAGUCUACAUUAAUUUUGAUUUUGAGUUGACUGAUUUCUUUUCAAGGUCUGCUUCCUUAACGGAGUGACCAAUGUUUUUCAACUAAAUUUAUCAUAUGAUGCAGGAAGCAGGGCAGGAUAUGAAAUGAGAAGCUCAUUGGUGGAAGUAUUGCCAGUAACAGAACCCAAAGAAAAUGAAACUAUUUCAAGGCAGCAGUUGGCAGUUGCAAGUGAAUGGAGGCCCUGACAAAAUUCUCAAGCGGUUGCAAUGCAAUUACGAUCAUCCUCAGCCUCAGGUAAUUUCUUCUCCUGCUCUGUUUUUAUUUGUUAUCUAAUUAAAAAGCAUAAAGUAUCUUGAAUCACUUUCUCUAUCUGGAAUAUAUGCAGCAGUUUCUAAAAUCUUCAUAUGAGUGUAAUGAUGGUAAUUUCUGUUUUUUGUCUGUCAUUGAAUGUUAGACAACUUUCAGUGAGACUCUUGAACCGAGACAUUUUUGACAACUGAAGGACAAUUGCUGAAGAGUCGGAAUGGUGCUAGAUUGGGGAAUAAAGACAAAGGAGGUAAAUUAUUUGCAGUUUAUUCAGCAUUAUUUGCUUUGGACCAGCGCCUGAUUCACAAGUCUCCAUAAUUUGGCUUUUGACCAGUUAAUAAAUUUUUAAUUCCAUUGGUGCUAAAUGUACACGUGAAGCAGGCAGAGCAGGACUGUGGAAAUGAGAAGGUUUUUAGUGAAAGCUUAAACUCAGGUAAUUCUAAAAAGUACAUGUUUUUGCUGAUUUAUCUAAAUCAGGAAAUUUUAUUUCCAUCUGUUACAAGAUAAAACAGAAACAGAACACAAAGAAAAAUAUUCUACUUCUUGUGGCAAUCUUGCCUUCAUUCAGACAAUGAAACCAUUUCCUUUCACCAAUUUCUUCCAAAAGUUUGAAUAAGUUUCAUGGGUGGACCUAGUUAGCUUCUUUUUCUUUUGGUGCAUUUAGGUCCUAUCAAGUGACAGCCAUAAGUAUGAUUGCAUUAUUGGGAAAUUUUAGGUUUGGAUGGCUCCCCAUGUUAUUGCCAAGAAAGUCCUCAUGUCAGAAGCUGCGGUUCUUUUCAUCAGCCUGAACCCGAACCUGUCGUUAUGGAUAACUCAGGUUUUUGUCAUCAACUAUAUCAUCUUUUUUACUGUUUUGAAACUCUUAAGAUUAAACUUCAGUAAAGUUGUUUCAGUUAUCCAUGUAAUCAGGCUAAGGAUAUUUAGCAGCUUAUUUAGGCAACUGCCAGAAUUCAGUUUGUUAGCUCGAAACUUGUAUGGUGACAAGGAUACUGGCAAGGAUAGUGAGAUAGUUUUUUGUGUGAGUGAAAUUUGAAAGCUUGGGUGUUCUGGGAUUUGCAAUUGCAAUCAUCCUCUGAGUCAGGUGAUUUCUUCACCUGCUCUGUCUUGAUUUUCUCUCUAAUUGAAAGCAUAAAGUAUUUCAAUCAAAUUCUGUACCAGGAAUACGUAAAAGUUACUAAUAUUUUAUUUCCAUCUGUUUGCAUUGAUAACUCGGCGGCAUAUGUUCUAGUUAAAGAACAAACAGAAACAGAGUUCAGGAAAAAGUUUCUUCGGCCACCAUAUUUGAAAAUGAAACCAUUUCCAGGAAGCAGUUGGCAGCAAAUUCAUAUGGAGUGUAGACAAUGAUGAGCAAAAAGGUGAUUCGCAAUUUCUUUUUUUUUUUAAGUGAAAUUAUUUGUUAGAUUGAAGCUGAUAUUGUAAGAAGGCCAUUGAGCUAACCUAUGUCGCCACUUGCCUAGAUUGCAGGGGGUCAAGACUCAAAAGAAGCACUGAAAUUUAAAAAGCAUGCAAUAGUUCUUUUGCCAUGUGUCAAUUAAUGCAAGUUUGAAUAAGUUUAUUGGCUGAACGAUGUUAGCUUCUUUUCCUUUCGUGCACUUUGGUAUGCUAUCAAGUGACAGCCGUAUGUAUGGCUUGCAUAUAGCUGCUGCUGGGAAAAUUGACGAUUUCAUGGCUGGCCGUGUUAUUGUCUUAAAUUAGUUGUGAUAAGCUGUUGCUUGGAGAUUCUGUUGCCAAGAAUUUGCUCACAUCAGAAGCUGUGGAAUCUGAACCCUUCGAUUCUGUUGCCAAGAAUUUGCUCACAUCAGAAGCUGUGGAAUCUGAACCCUUCGUUAUGUAUCAUCUUUUUCAUUGUUUUAAAACAGUAAACUCUCAGGACACUGAGCAGGCAAAUGUUAUAACUCGGUUUGUUAGCCAAAAACUUGUUGAAGAUUCUUGACAAAGCUGCGUCGAGUGAAUUGUCGGAGCUCUGAGGGUGAGAGAAAUUAGAGGGUGUAUAGGGAUUUGGAUUUGUUAGGAAGUUAUCAUUUUUAUUUGUCCGAUUCAAAACUUGAUAUUCCAAUUAUAUUCAUAAGCUUCUACAGUUAUCUUCAAAAAGACAUUCCAAUUAUAUUCAUAAGCUUCUACAGUUAUCUUCAAAAAGACAAAUGGAAGGCUUUGAACGGCUUGGGUCUGAGUAUUGUAGUUUGAUUUAUUUUGAUGAAAGAACCUUUUGACAUUAAGAUUCUUUCAUGAGUUAAACAUUCUUUUUAAAACCAACUUAUUAAAAAAAAAGUAACGAACAUAUAUUAUUUUGUUAGUGCUUUUUAAAUCAAAUAUAAAAAAGAGAACUGUAAUUCUUAGCAACCAAUUUUUCAUUGAGUACACCUACAACAAAUUAUUAAAAAAUAAAGCGAUAGAAAAUGCCUGAUUUUUCGUACUUUCUAAUUACUUUUGGUCCUAAAAUAUGGCGAUUUGUGUAAUAAUAAGCCCAUGUAUAUCUUUAUGCCAUUAGUUUGAUAAAUAACUAUCAAGGAUAACUUAUUAAGCUAAAAAUAUUUGAAGGAUAAAAUGGGAAAACUAAAAGGGUGGAGUAAUAAAGUUAUUUAAGAUUACAUAGUAAGUUAACUAUAUUCGAGGGAUAAAAUAUUAAAACUUGAAUAGUUAUAUUAAAAAUAUCUCGGCUAUUAUACUAUUAAACCAUAUGCCGUAAUAAUGUUUUUUUUCAAACUUUAAAAAAUUCAGGAUUUUAAAUUAAAACAUGGAUUUCUUUAAGAUGCUAUAUGUGUUUUUACAGUAUUGAUAGUGGGAUUAGUGUGUACCCUUAUAUGAAAGAGUUUUAAUCUGAAUCAUUCAUUUAAUAUAAUAGAUAAUUAAAUAAUUAAUUAAAAUAUAGCAGGUAACUUAUAGGUUGCAGGUAAAAAAUUAAUUUUUUAAUUUUAAAUUAAAAUUAAUUUGGAACAAAACCAUCCACACCCCUAAGGUUUACUUAAAUGAUCAUAUAAAUCCCUUUAGUUUCUACAUAGUUAUACAGACCCUCUUAAUUUCAUAAAUUAUUAUUAUACUUUUAAUUAAAACAACCUAAAUGAAUAUAAAUAUAGUAAUAGGAUAGAAAUAAUAAAUAAAUAUCAGAUGAAACAAAUAAAAUAUUACAAUAAAUACAAUUAAUUAAAUAACAUGUAUGAUGAAAAUUUUAUUCAUAUUAAGUUAUUAUUAGUCUAUCCCGAUGGAUUUACUCAAAUCAAUUAAUCCAAAAUUUAAUUUUAAGAUUGAUAUUAAUAUGGACAUAAUUAAAUAAGAUGUUGUAAUAUAUACUACUUUGAAUGUUAAGUAUAAUUAUCUAAUAUUAUUAGUAUGUGAAAUAGAUUUUAAUAUUAUUAAAGAAUAUGACAAUAUAUAAUUUUGAAUUAAAUUUUUUAGUAUUCAUGAUAUUUUAUAAAUUUUAUGUGAUUUUAUAUAUUAUAUUUUUUAAUUUUAAUGUAUUAUAUAUGAUCAUUUAAGCAAAUUUUGGAGGUGCGGUGGUCUUUUCCCUAUUAAUUUUGUAGCAUAUUUAAAGUGUUAUAUCAUACAUGAUACAUCACACUUUUGUUAAAGUGUUAUGUUAUUAAAAAUUAAACUUUGCAUUUAUAAUAUACUACCAUUUUAAUGUAAAGGUAAUAGAAAAUAUGAAGAUAUUUUUAAGUAGUCAAUUGUAGCUUUCUUUUACAAAAUAGCAGUAUAGAAAUACAAUUGGUAAAAUGUAAUAAAAAUGGUAUGGAAAAAAGUUAGUAGAGGCAAUUAUUCUUGUAGUUGCUAAAACAUAUGAAGUGACACACACACACACACACAUAUCAAGUACUUGUAUGUUCCCCUAACUUUUAUUAAUGGGAAGGAAAUUAAAUUCGUAAUUUUCCCGGUGAAUUAUGAAUUGAUAAAUGAAAUAUAAAUAUUAGUAAAAAUUAAUUUGUCGACUAAAGAAGUAAACCAUAUUUUAUGGGCAUUUAAUACAUUAAUUUAAGGUCAAAUGAGAUAAUAUCACAUGAUAUUUGAUACAAGAGUCCAAUUUUCAACAUUUGCAUAUAGUUUCUAAGCUAGUAAUCUAAUAAAAUAUACCAAAUGAGAAAUUGAAGGCUAUUAUUUAUAUUUCACCAUUGGACAAACACCAUACAUUAGAAUAAAAAAAUCUCACAGUAGAGACGGCAUCUGUUUGCAUGUUUUGAAAAUAGAUUUUGAAAUUAGUUUAAUUACAUGAUAAUUAAAUUAUAUUAUAAAAUUAAGAAUAUGAUUUAAGUACUAUUUUAGCAAUUUUGAGUCUCACAUUGAGUAUUCAAGUUAAUUAAAUGUUGAAACUCUUUUCUAUUUGGCUUGAAAUCACUACUAAAUAAAAUUACAAAAAGUCAAUAAUGAAUGAUGUAGGACACAUAUGUAAAAUAAAUUUUAAAGUGUAAUUAAACAUUCCUAUCAAUAUUAGUUUUGCAUACAUAUUCAUAUAUUUUACCGAAACCAUAUAUAAUUAAAUUUUGUGUAAUUAAGUAAAAUAUAUUAUUCAAGUGAAUUUAUGAGAAUAUUUAAAAUUGUAGGGGUCGUCACUGAAAUUUGCCAAACUUGAGCCAACCGUGCAUGAUCCAAACAGUUUAUUUUAAUAAUUCUCAAUAUGUUAGUCUGUUUGACUGUUGGCAAAAUAAAUUCCUAUCAGCAAUGCAACACAAUUCAAAAUCAUAUCUGCAUACAACGAACAAUAUCUCAUGAAAGAUCAAAUUAUACAUUUUUUACACCAAACCAUAAAUAUCUAAAUUGUCCCUCUUCAACUCACCAAGCUCAUACCUAACAACAGCAAGAUUAAAUGUCAUUUGAUCCAUCUUUUUUAUUAAGCUUUAUCAAUUCUUCUCAUGGUUGCAAUUUUGAAAGCUCGCUUCGCUAUUUCCAUUUGCUUUUAUGCUUUGUUUGAGCUCCAUCUUUUCUCUCCAUCUACAUUUUACACUGUAAAAAAAAUUUUAAAAAAAUUACAAAGCUUCUUAUGCUAGAAUAUGAGCAACAAUAUAAAUAAUAAACAAUAAAGUUAUGAUAGCACAGCAUGCUCAUUAAAGUGCUUCUUUUUUUUUUUUUUCAACAAGAAAUUACUACUGAAUUAAAGAUUUGGCUUUGCAUUAAGGUUUGCCUUCAAUAACUCAACUCCCCACUUGGGUUUUGUCGUUUUCUUAAAAUCUCUGCUCAAUCAAUUUAAAGAUCCUUUUUUUUUUCUUUCCAAAGAUCUAAAAGCAAUGUCUUUUAUUGGUACCCAACAAAAAUGCAAGGUCUGUGAGAAGACAGUUUGUCCAGUUGAGCAGUUAUCUACUGAUGGGGUUGUUUAUCACAAGUCUUGCUUCAAGUGCUCUCACUGCACUGCAAAGGCACACUCAAGCUAAGCAAUUACUCAUCCCUGGAAGGUGUUCUUUACUGUAAGCCUCACUUUGAGCAGCUUUUGAAGGAGUCGAGUAACUUCAACAAGAAUUUCCAAUUACCUGCAAAGUCAGCUGAGAAGUUAACUCCUGAGCUGAAAAGGUCGCCUAGCAAAGUUGACAGCAUGUUCUCUGGGCCCAAUAAAAAUGUGCUUCUUGCAGUAAAACAGUGUGUCCGUGGGAGAAGGUAGCAGCGGAAAACCAAGCCUCUCACAAGACAUGUUUCAAGUGCUCACAUGGUGGUAAUUCCAUUAGCCCGUCAAAUUACGCAGCCCUAGAAGGCAUCUUGUAUUGCAAACAUAAUUUCUCCCAAUUGUUCAAGGAAAAAGGCAGCUACAACCACCUUCUAUCAAAUCUGCUUCCAUGAAGCGUGCUGCAGUCUCUGUUCAAGAAGCUUGAACAUGUUAUGUUAUCUUCCAUAAAUCUUAUUUGGCGUGGGUUUUCUCUGGCUUGAGGGUGUGCUUUCUAUUUUGAUCCCUCUUGUUGUUUUUGCGGGGAACUACCAAACCUUCGGUUCCCUCUGCUUCUUUGGAUCAUCUUUGUUGGGACAAAUUUCAUGUAAUUAGAGAUACUGAUUUAUGGGAGGCAUAAUCCCAUGGUUGUAAAUUGACCAUUUUCUGGCAAUGUUCUUUUUAAAAAGAGAUGAGCAGUUGUUUAACAAAAAAAAUAGCUGGCCUUCAUCAUGGUAUGUUACCAAACUGCUAUGUAUAGCUGCUAACUAUGAGCAUCCGAAAAUAUGGUGCAUCGUGAUUCAUGUCGUGCAAUAUGGCUACCAACGCAUCCUAAAUGGAGUAUUACUCAGUUAGUCAGCAAAAUAAGACAACAGUAAGAUAUUAAAAAAAUAAAAACUACAUUAAUAAGUGGGCAAGAUCAUGCCAGUUUAACUUUUCGCGCGUCGCUGCUGGAGAUAAUCAAAUCGGGGCAGAGAAAAGGAGAAUGGAAUCAGAGGCUAAGAUUAAUAAGUGGGCUUCUGCUUGCUUUGCCCCUCUUUCUUAAACGAUUGGUAGACUGCUGCUUCCACCGAUUAACCGGGUCUUCAACCACUGCUUUUAUUGCCUGCCAUCUUGUUGUUUGUCGAAGGGAUGAAUUCGAGUCGAAAAGAGAAAGCGCGCUGAAAAAGACAAAUCACUAGUGGUUAACUACUGACUCAGCCAAGUGUUGGCUUCACUUGAUUCACCGAUUGAGGUUAUUUUGUCUUCUAUCUAAUGCAGCGAAGAAGCUUUACUGCUUAACAUGCUGCAAUGCAACUUUAUCUUUUGAAGUUCACACUUCAGGGCUGCGCACUUUAUGUAAUCCUAUGAGUAAAAAGAAUUUAUUUUCAAAUGUGAAAAAAGAAAAUGUAAGGUAGUAACUAAAUAUAUUAUAGCAUCAAAGUAAGAUUUGAUAUGAAUUUAGUACAACAAAGAACAUUAAAUCUGUGAUUCCUUGUCUAAUGUCACCAUCGAGCAACAAAUUUAAAAGCCUACCUAUCAAAUACACGAGGCAAUAAACGGAGAAAAAGUUGAAUUACAAGAACAAGUUUACAAUUCUUGUCAAUGGUUAAUGAUUCGUGAAUUGAGAUAGCAUUCAAGAAUCCAAUUUCAAUACAACAACGUAAAAGAUAAACAGAUGAUGAAUUUUAUGAGAUAAAGAAGGAGAUUGUGUUUUAUCGUAUCUCUAUUUUCUUUCCAUUUAAAUUUAAAAUAAGCUUUUCAACCGGUUAUAAUAUUUUUUGAAAUAAUUAAAUAUUUUUAUUAUUAAAAAUAAUGUGUACCGUUGAUUACAUCUAACGCUACAUAUUUCUUACACUAUUAAUACCGUAAAAAAAAUCAUAGAGGGACCCUUAAAACAUUUUCAUUUGAAAUUAUUUGGUGAAGUGAAAAAGUUAAGAAAGAAAUAGUUGUCCCUUUGGUCAUUUCACAAAAAUGAAAGCCCCAUAUAACAUGGACUUGAAUGGAAGCCCAAUUGUUGUGUUUGAUUUCAAGCUUUAUCGGACCUUUGGACCUGGAUACUUUACUGCGGCCUCUAAGCGCUACAAAUUUUUUUUUUGGGAUAAAAGGCGCUUCAAUGAAAAAGCACUUUAAAACUUUGGAUUUUGCCAAAACUUCAAAGCGGUUGGUCCAGUUACGGUGUUAUGCUAACGGGUUUAAAGGUUCCGAUCCAAUGAGUUAGGGUGGAAUAUGAAUAUAUAAAUCCUAGUCAUGUAAGGACUAGGAUUUGUUUGUUCAUAUCAAGAAAAAAAAUCUGAAAAUUUGAUGAUCAGAAGAUAAAAACACUUAAACACGUUUAUUACAGAGAAACAAACGACAACAUGAUGCUAGUAGUAAUUUUAUUUUUCUUUUAUUGUGUAACGUGGACCAAAAAAAAGGAAAUGAAUUUAAUAAAACCGUCAUUCCGCAAUAAUAAUGUACCAGCCUGGUUUUUAUAAUCCAUACCAUCCUGAUAUAAUUAAACACCAUUAAUAAUGUACCAGCCUUUAAAUAGUAAUUAAUUUAUUUAUCUAAUUCACCAAAUGUCAUUUCCGGUACAUAUCUCCUGGUAUCAAGAAGAGGCAGAACCCAAAGAAACGUUUCUUGUAUCUUCAUAUUUGUGCGAAUUCAUCCUUUCAUUGAGAAUAACCAUUUCCAGGCGGCAGUUGGCAAUCAAUUCAUGCGCAAGUCGAUGCUAUUCAUAGAUAUUAAAGACAAUGAUGAACCAAAGGUGAUAAAUCAUAAAUGCAUAAUUACCAAACCUCCAUCCUUCUCUCAUUAUGAUUUGAUUUUAAAUGAAUUAUUGCUUGGUAACAUUAUUUCCAACCAUUGCAAGAUUAUUAUUAUUUUUUUUUGGGGAGAAAUUUCAAUUGAAAGUGAAACCUUUAGACAUUUACCUAAUGAAGUUAGUUAAUGGGGAGGGUUGGAAAAAUUCCCAAGCCGUUGCACAGCAAUUACGAUCAUCCUCGGCCUCAGGUAAUUUCUUCUCCUGCAUUUUUGUUAUUUGCUAUCAAGUGACAUUCGUAAGUAUGAUUGUAUUAAGCUGCUGCUGGGAAAUAUAAGGUUUUGAUGGCUGCCCAUGCUAUUGUCAGAAGCUGCGGUUCUUUUCAUCAGCCUGAACCUGGACCUGUCGCCAUGGAUAACUGAGGUUUUUUUUUUUUUAAAUCAACUACGUCAUCUUUUCCACUGUUUUGAAACUCUUAAGAUUAAACUUUAGUAAAGUUGUUUUAGUUAUCCAUGUAAUCAGGCUGAGGAUACUUAGCUGCCUAUUUAGGCAAAUGUCAGACUUUAGUUUGUUCGCUGGGAACUGGUGUGGUGACAGCGUCCUGGCAAAGGAUGAUGAGAUAGUUUUUUGAUUGAGUAAAUUUUGGGGGCUUGAGUAUAUUGGGAUUUGCAAUUACAAUUAUCCUCUGCCUCAGGUGAUUUCUUCUCCUGCCCUGUCGUUGUUUGUUCUCUAAUUCAAAAUUAUAAAAUAUUUCAUCAAAUUUUAUGCCGGGAAUAUGCAAAAGUUUCUAAUAUUUUAUUUCCAUCUGUUUGUCUUGAUAACUUUGCAGCAUAUGUACUAGUUAAAGAACAAAUCGAAACAGAGUUCAGUUAAAAGUUUCUUCUGCCGUCAUAUUUGAAAAAUGAACCCAUUUCCAGGAAGCAAUGGGCAGCAAAUUCAUAUAAAGCGUAGACAAUGAUGAGCAAACAGGUGAUUCACAUUAAUGAAAUUAAUUGUUUGGUUGGAGCGGACAUUGUUAGAAGGCUAUUGAGCUAACCUAUGUCACUACUUGCCUAGAUUACAGGGGGUCAAAACUCAAAAGCGGCAUUGAAUUUUAAAAGGCAUCCAAUAAUUCUUGUGGCCAUAUAUCAAUUCAUGUAUGUUUGAAUGUAAUUAUUGGUGAAGGGGUUUCACUUCCCGUCUCUAAAUAAAAAUACUGAUUCUUUAAGGUACCUGCCACUAGGGAUUGCGAGAUUAAUGAGUCUUUGGACAUUGGAAGAGCUCCUUGUGAGUGGAGGAGGAGGUGUUGAUGGUAGCAAAGCAUGUGGGCAGUGGGCUUGAAUCUCUAAAAAACUUGGAACUCCUCCAAGCGUAAGUAUACGUAUACUGGGAAAUUUGUUAGAUGUGGAUGAGGCUAAGAGAUUAGAGCUUGACAAAAUGAAAUACCUCUUUCAUUGAGACUUAAAUUUGAUGGGGAAGAAGAAAAAGAAGAGGGAAGGAGGAAGAAUGAGGAUAAUCAACUUGUUCUUGAAGCCUUGCAACCACCUCUGAAUUUGAAGGAAUUAGAGAUUUGGUCAUACAGAGGCAACAUUGUUUCCCCCCGGAUGAUGCAAAAAUUGAAGGAAUUUACCAAUCUAAGGAGUUUGACACUCUUUAAAACUGCAAAAAUUGAGAGCAGUUGCCUCCUUUGGGAAAAUUGUGAUCCUUUGAAAAUCUCAGCAUAUUGUACAUGGAGAGUGUGAAAACAGUGGGUAAUGAAUUUCUGGGAAUAGAAAGUCAUCUUCAUGACUCAUCUCCAUCUUUAUCAGUUAUUAUUGCCUUCCCCAAAUUGAAAUCACUUUCAGUUGAGGGAUUGAUGGAAUUGGAGGAGUGGGAUUAUGGGAUUAAAAGAACAGGAAACACCUUCACCAACAUUAUGCCACGUCUUUCUUCCUUGGAAAUUAGUGUGGGGUUAUGGGAUCGCACAACCACGUUGAAGGUAUUGCAGAUUGUGGCAUGUGGUACUCUAAGAAGACGUUGCAGACAGGGGAGAGCAGAAGACUGGCCUAAGUUCUCUCACAUUCUAGACAUCAUGAUUGUGUGAAAAGAGGCCCUUGACAAAAUUCUCUAGGCGGCUACAUGGAGUACAAUCAUAAAAUGCUAAUGUGGCCACCCUGGUUCUUAAUUAAGGUUGUGAAAUAUUAUUGUAAAAGAUGAUUAAUUCAAUUUGAGUCAUUCGUUUGCUUUGAUAAUGAUAGUAAUUUUAUAUUUUGACAAUUUGCAAGGUGAGAAUGGUGCUGAUUGGUGAUACAGGAUACGGUUCAAACACCAUUGAAUAAAGCUACGGACAUGGUGGCUCAACUUAGCUAUUGCUGUCAAAAUUGGUAAGUUGGCUUGUCAAUGUAUUGAUGCUUUUGUUUUCUCUCAACCCUAAUUACCUUACCUUCAUUUAGUUUGGCUUUGGAGUUGAGUAAUAACUUUCAAGGUUCUCAAACAGAGCAGGACAACCGAAAAAAAAAGCUUAAUUUGCUACUGAUCACGUGUUACCAAUUAUUAAGGUAAUUCUCGUUUACUUGCUUCUACACUAUAGAGUACGUGUUCUGGCUGGUUUAUCUAAUUCAUCAAAUGUUAUUUCCUUAUUGUUCCAUUGAUAUAUUUGUUAGAAAGUGAAACCAUUUCCAGGCAGCAGUUGGCAGUGAAUUCAUGCAAAUGUUGAUGCCAUUCAUAGAUAUUGAAGACAAUGAUGAGCCAAAGGUGAUAAAUCAUUAAUGCAUAGUUACCAAAACCUCCAUCCUUCUCUCAUUGUAAUUUGAUUUGAAAUGAAUAAUUUCUAGGUAAUUGAAGCCAAUAUUGUUAGAAACGGUGUUGAGCUACCCAAGCUAAGAAGUUGGCUGCCAAAAAAUGCAGGGGAUCAAAAGAAGCAUUGCAUUUGAAAAGGAAUGAGAUUCUGGUUGCUACAUGUCAAUUCGUAGAAGUUUCAAUAAAUUUAAUGGUUCAAGAUUUUAGUUUCUGUUUAAAUUUGUGCUACUGCAGUGCUGCAGUGCUGCUACUGGGAAAUUUAAAUCCCAUAUUAGACUUUCCUCACAUAAGAAGCUGUGGAUCUUCGGACAUCAGGUUUUUUCACAGUUCUGAAACUCUCAGGAUUAAACUCUAUUAAAGUUGUUGUAGUUGUCUACGUUCUCAGGUCAAGGAUUCUAAGCUGCCGAUUAAGGCAAAAUGUCAGAAUUCCCCUAUUAUUUUUUUUUUCAUGUAAAAUUAUGUUGUUGUCUUCGCCCAUGAAUCUUAGCUAAAUUCUGAACCAAUUGUUUGCUAUUAUAAAUUUCAUUGUUAAAUAUUAAUUGUGAUGUUGGUGUUGAGUUUCUUUUAAAGUCAGAGAAGCCUGACGAUUGAGUUCCAUGGGAUUCUGAGAAGCAGUAAUAUUUUGAACAAGUGAAGGUUCUUCGUUUUUACAGUAUGUGCAGAUGUCUAAGAGGCAGGAUUUUUAUUUCUGUAAUGCUAAAUUUCGCAAAACAAUAAAAAUAAAUAAAUGCAUGACAGUGACUUCAAGAAUUUAGAUUAUUGAAUUUGGUCAUUUUAAAAUUGUUGGAAUGUUGAACUUAAGUAAUUUUUAUAAACCAGAGCUCAGAAAUGUAGAAUAUAAAUAUUGGAGAUUUGGACUUCAAUCAUUAGACUUGAAGCUAAAGAGGUAAGCCAUUAAUUAUAUCAAAGGAUUUGGAAAAUGGAGGGAUUGGAAAAAGGAAACAUUUUCAUAAACUUCAAGAGGAACGUCACAGAAAGGGGUAAAGAGAAGAGUAGCCUAAGAUAUUAAAGACAAUGUUGAGCCAAAGGAAACAUAAAUCCCAACCAUUGCAUGUGAACAUGAUCACAAUAAGGUCAAAAACCAUUUUUUUGAGAAUUUUCAAUUGAAAGUGAAACCUUUUGACAUUUACCUAGUAAAGUUAGUUAAACGAGAGAAAUAAAGGGGAAAAGAAAAGUUGACUCAAGUCAAUACAGAAUAAUUAGUUCAAUCUGGAGUAACUAAAACAGAGCCACUAUAUUUUCAAAAAUAUCUGCAUUCAUCACCUUCUCCUCCAGCUAGUGAGCUACACACGAAUCCUUUCCUUUUAGCAUUUUUGCAGCAUCAAUUUCUCCCCUCGUUUGUCAUCAAUUUCUCCCUUCGUUUCACCAAUACCAUGGCUGAUGCAAUCGUUUCCCCUCUCUUGGAGCAGCUGAUUAUCUUUGCUGCUGAAGAGUUGAAACAACAGGGGAAGCUGGUGAGUGUUGGAUGAGUGGAUCACAGCAUGCGCCAAAUCGCAAAAUAGAUCAAUGCUCUUGGUGCUCCUUAUCUGAAGAAGAAGGUGCAAAUUGGGAGCUGCAUUUCACUGUCAUAACAUUUAUUGUAAUUUCAUUUGGAGAUAUGUAAUAUCUGUUGUCCAGAUACAUAUCAUACACCAGUUGCUAUGUAAUUUCGUUUAGGUUCAUUUUUGUUUCUUAAGAGUUUGUAAAAAGAAUGGAAAGAUUUUAAAAUAUAAAUUUCAUAUCUGUUUAUUACUGUUGUUUGGUCUAAUUUCUUAUGUAGAAUUUUCAGAAUCUGUAGGACAUUAGUUUAUAAUUUUGAGAUUUUGCAGCCAUAAAAAAAAUUUUUUUUUUUUGCCAUUUUAUUUUGCUCCUUUAUCUAUGUGCAUGUUGACUGGCUGCAGUGAGUGAAAAUUUACCUAUAUAUGCUGGCUAUUCUUGGACAAUAUUAGAGAAAAUAAUCAUAUUAUUUCGCGUGAUGUGAACUUCCAUAACUUAUCAAUUGAAUUGCUGUAAAAUAUUAAAUAGUUUUAUUUUUCUUUUAUCGUGUAACUUGGACCAAAAAAGGAAAUGAGUUUAACACGACCCUCAAUAUAACCUCCAUUUCAGCACAAUACAUGUUAAUUGUUCCCCAAGGACUUCUCCUGUUUCCCAUUCCCACCUCCAUGCUCUCGAGAGGAAUUUAGCACCCAUCAAUUUUUAUUUUUGAAAACUCGUAAUGGUCUGAUAAAAUUAAACAACAUCAAUAAUGUUACCAGUCUUUAAAUAGUAAUUAAUUUAUUUAAUUUGCCACCUAAAAGAAUCCUGCUGGAAAUAGAGGUUAAAAAUUUUAUUAGAUCUGCUUACCUUUGUUCAUUCAGCAAAAACACUUACAAUUCACAGCUAGAGAAUCUAUCCAUUGACAAUUGUGGAUUAAAAUUAUAACACCUGAAUUCAAACAUAUCCUUAUGAAGUUAUGAAUUUGUUCAUACUUCAAAUGAUUUUUUUUUCCAAGCUAAUAAAGCAACCACUUUGAUCAAACGACGACGUUGAAGGAAUUACGUAUUUUCAAUGUCCUUUUCCAGACAGAUGUUGGAGAGAGGGAAAGGAGAAGACUGGCCUAAUUAAGAUAUCUCACAAAGAUUAUUGAGUUAAAAUGUUAUUGUAAAAGAUGUUUAAUACAAUAAUAGUAAUUCUUUUGCAUUGUUAUAAUGAGGCUGGUGGGUUUCCUCAGAGGAUGGAUAUGGCUCGCUAGCAUGCAUUUGGGAAGAUGCUAAUUAUCGGCCAUAAAAAGUCAGGGGGUUGUGGCUCUUCCGUCGCCCAGAAAUUCCUAAACUCAUAUAUCAAACUUCAGAUGAACUUGGGCAUUAUGUAAAUAUGUAUUUUUGAGAAUUAAACUAGUGCGUUCGAAAAAUUUUGAGCCAUUGUAAUCAUUUUAUUUUGCUAAGAGAAAAUUUUACUUUGUUUCGCUUUGCCUUUUGUUUUUUCUGUGAUAAUAUGAUUCAUACGAAUGUGAUUACACACUAUCAUGCAUCUAUUUUCAUUUGCUUGUCAUGAAUGGUCAACAUGCUCGAAAUAUUUACUUAGGUUGGAAAUAUUUGAAUCCACUAAAAUACUAUACAAACCCAUUUUAAAAUUAAAAAAAUGAUUAUCAUAAUACUCGUGAAGAUAACACGAUAUCAUACAUAAAAUAAAAUAUUUCGCAAAAAAGAUAAGAUACAAAUCUUGAGUAAAUAGGUACAAAAAAUAUUUUAGUGGGUUAAGUAGCACUAAUGCCCCCUUAUCAAAAAAUAAAUAAAAAUAACUAGUCUGAUUGGGUAUACCGUUUAUAUAUAUGUACAUAUUCUUGAUAAUGUGUAAUGUACAUUAUAGACAAAGAUUUUGAAAGCAAUAUUUUUUAAAAAGUCGAGAGAAUAGGAAAAGUCUAAAUCAAUUUUCUAAUCUCUACCUCCUUUAUGAUUUAAACUUUAGUGUUUAGUGUCGCGAGCCACUCAAAUUUUCUAAUCAAAGAGACUAAAUUGCACGAAAUUGUGCUAGCUUAUUUGAUUCUAGAAAUUUCUACUACACUGUAACACACUCUCACGUAGGGAUGGCAAUGGGGAGGGGAGGGGAGGGGACCAAUCUCCCCAUAUCCAUCCCCGAUAUUUUACAUAUGUCCCCGUCCCCGUCAGAAUUGCUUGAGAGAAUCCCCAUCCCCUCCUCGAAUAAUAACAGGGGAUCCCCGAGGGUCCCCGGUCCCCGAAUAACUAAUAAUCUAAUACAUUUUUUUAUUUUCGAUUUUAAAUUAAUCAUAUUAAAAUAAACUCAUACCGCUAUUGUAAGCUCGUAACCAAUUUUGACAGCACAUUAAGGCCUCCAAUGUGCUUGGAUGAAGUCUGUUAUGGUAUGGGCUCACAACUCUACCACUAGUGUUAAAAGCUGAUUCAGAAGCAACUGUUGUAAUUGGAAUUGCCAAAAUAUCUCUAGCAAUUCGAGCUAAUGUAGGAUACCUAUUAGCAUUUGUCUUCCACCAACUCAAAAUAUUAAAAUCUUCCAUCCGAGGUAUAACUUUCUCAUCCAAAUAUGAAUCUAAUUCAUCUGCAACAACUGCACAAUCUCCAUUGUUUACAUAAUCAUCAAAACCUAUCAUCCAUUUGGUUGCUUUCUUAUAAGAAUCCCCUGUAGAUCUAGUAGAAGAACUACUACCAGUAUAAUCAAAGCAAUAAACAGUUGGUGAAAACUUCAAUUAAUACUCUUCAACUAAUUCCCGGCAAAGGAUGACCACUUUCCCAACAUACAACUAUUUUGAUAUUUAUUAUUUUUAACAAUAUUUAUAAUUUUGUUAUUUAUUUAUUAGUAAUUUUAAAAAUAAAAAUAAAAUUAAAAAUUAAAAUGGGGAAAUGGGUAGGGGAUGGGGAUUCCACCUCAUCCCCGUCCCCUCCCCGAAUAAAAAAUUGGGUAAAAAAUUUUCCCCGUCCCCUCCCCGAAAAAAAAAUUGGGUAUAAAAUUAUCCCCGUACCCUCCCCGAAUGGGGAAAAUCCCCGAGGGUAUCCGUCCCCGUGGGGAUUUUUGCCAUCCCUACUCUCACGCUUGUACAUACCUCGAAAUUCUCUAGAAUUUACUAGAGUAGUGUUGCAUGUAGCUUGUACAUAGGUUUUUCUGGAACACUCCAGGCAUUACUAAGCAUGAGAGCCUUGAGAACUCUCUAGCCAUAAAACAUUCUAGGGUAAGCCUACCCUAAAAAUAGGGCAUGAUGCUUGCCACUUGAGCAUACAACAAGUAAGAACAAAUCAAGCAUACUUGUGAGCUCUCAAACUCUCUUAUACACACUUUUAUGAAUAAUAUAUUCUCUCUUUGGCUAUAUUGCUCUCUCUUCUCUCUAGUUUUUUUCGCAAGCAUCAAACCUUAGUUAGUCGAAAAAUUCAAGGCUUACUUUAUAGCUAUCUCGUAAAAGUUGUUUAAGUACCAUAGAGAUUUGCUGUGCAAAAUACUCAUCACAUGACAUUAGCUAAAUAAAAUUGUUUGAAAGCCACUUACCCAAACUAUUAAACGAAUAUUGACUUUUGUCUUAAUUUUCUAUCUCCUACGAUAAAUUUUAUAGUUAAAAAUUGAAAAAAAUUAAUAACUAUUAGAUAGAGCAUUCUUUAUUGUUAAAAGAAAUCUAUAUAGAUAGAUAGAUGGUAAUAUAAAAACUUACUUAUUGUAGUAUAAUGUUUUUAGUUUUUUGAAACACAGAUUCUCACUUUUUAAAGAUAAAAUUCAAAGAAAACAAGUUAAAUGUUGUAGAAAAUCUUCCAGCCAUACAAGAAAUUGUGAUGGCUAAAUGCAAACCUAACUAAAGUAUUAGUUGUUUUAUUACAAUCUCCAAAAAGAUGAGCAAUUCCAAAAUCUUUUUUUGUGACAAUAAACACUACACGUCAGUAAUUAUCCAGGUCAAAAGCAAGCUACUCUAUUAAAAAAAAAAAAAACUUGCAGUGAAUUCGAAGAUAAACCAAUUUUACUAGCAAGUUGGAUACAAAAGAGUAGGGCUUCGGCCUCAAUUACUCAGUGUACCAACAACUCAAUCUCGGUGAGUUAAAAUCAACUUCCAUCAGUCUUUUAUUUGUUGAUAGAUCGAUUAAGGUACCAAAAAGAAUAAUUAAAGAUGUAUUAGUUCAAGUUAAUAAAUUCAUAUAUCUUGUGGAUUUUAUUAUUUUGGAAACUGAACCAAUUGCUAAUGAAUGCAAACAAAUUCCUGUUACAUUGGGUCGUCCAUUUUUAACUACUGCUAAUACAUUGAUUAAUUGCUGGAAUGGAGUAAUGAAUUUAUCUUUCGGCAACAUGACAUUGGAACUUGAUGUGUUCAACAUAUGUAAACAACCUCACCACCAGGAAGAUGAUGAUAAUGAGAAUUAGGAGAUUGAUUUCAUCGAGCCAAUCAUUGAGGAACACAUUCAGAAUAAGAAUUUUACAAAUUCUGUGGAAAUUUAUUCUUCUUGUUCUUUUGAAUCGAGUAAAGAAUUAAAUUAUGAUACUGCUAACAUAUAACCUACAAUUGAUUCUAUGCAGGUACAUGCUGACAAUGGCCAAUCAAACUUUAAAGAUACAGAACAACCUGAAGAACCAAACGAAGAGCAAGUACCAGAGCUCAAAUUAAAGCCCUUACUGGAAGAAUUGAAGUAUGUCUAUCUUGGAGAACAACAGAUUUAUCCUGUGGUAAUUUUUUUCCCAACUCACGCUUGAUCAAGAAGGUAAGUUGUUGUCUGUACUAAAAAGGCAUAAAACUGCAUUUGGCUGGACUUUAAAAGACAUAAAAAACAAUAAUUCUUUAAUCUGCACACACCGAAUACACUUAGAGGAAAAUACCAAAACAACCCAUCAACAUCGACAUUAUAUGUGUAAACAUUAAAUACCAAAAUCAACCCCAAAAACUAUAAAUAAAAUAUCAUGAUUAAAAUGAAGUUUUUUUUUAGAUAUUCGUUGUAGUAUCUCUUUAGAUCGCAAACAAGAGAUAAAAUAAAUAAAUAUUUGCUAUGUAAAUAAAAAUAAAUAAUUUUUUUUAACUGAAAAAUAUUCUCAAAAACUAAAUAGUUCAAACUUUUUUUAACAUCAUGUGUUUCUAGGGUUGGGCAUUCAGUUCGGUUUUUACCGAACCGAACAACUAAAUUAAAUCGAAAUUACCUGUUCGGUUCAAUUGAAUAGACAAAAACCGAAGAGUUUAUAUUUUCAUGAACUGAAUGAUUUGUGUUUCAGUUGAGUUCGGUUCGAUUCUGGACCUGAACCGAACCGAACCGAUCCGUGAAUCGUAAACUGCCCACCCUUACGUAGUAGUUUCCGUUAACCGACGUUGUAUUGCUCGUAUAAAAUUGUUCAAAUGUUCAAAUCACAGUCUCCCGCUCUCAGCUCAGUCAGAGUUUCCAGGUCCAGAGACUUCCCGCUGACUGAGAACUUUUUCGUAGCAGGUCUACAAAUAAUGGAGUAGAGCUGAUUUUAUGAUUAAUUUAUUUCCUUUUUCAAUUUCUCUUGAUUGCGAUUUAAUCUGGAAAGUUAAACGUGAAUUGUUUAGUGCGGAUUAAAUGUUCGACGAAUUUCCCACAAGAGUAUUAAGUUCAAGAGAAAAAAAGAAAACAAUUGAGCGUGAGCGUGAGCGAGAAUGGUGUUUGGGCAAGUGGUGAUUGGUCCGCCCGGCUCGGGAAAGACCACUUACUGCAAUGGCAUGUCUCAGUUUCUCAGCCUUGUUGGCAGGUAACUUCGUUUCUUGAUUUCAAGCAGCUUUAUCUUCGAUGACCAAAAAUAUUGAUUUGGGCUUUGCCAUUAAAUGAAUGUAAGAGCAGUAGGGAAUAACUGAGUUAUAGGAUUAGCUUUAAGUGAACAUUGAUGGUAAUGUGAAGGUUGUAUGUGUUCAGUGGCAAGCUGUAUGCCAAUUUGGUCUAUAUGGUUGCUUAGGUAGUAACUUAUUAAUUUUUAGGCAGGAAGGUUGCAGUCAUCAAUUUAGUUCCUGCUAAUGAUAGUUUGCCGCAUCCUUUGUCAUUGAACUUUCUUACAAAUGCUGUGGUUUGUUGUAGUAUAAUUAGUUCAAUUGGAAAUUUCCUUGAUGUUAAUAUAGAAAUGAGUGUGCUGUGAAUAUUGAGGACCUCAUUAGACUAAGUGAUGUGAUGAUGGAGUAUUCACUUGGUCCCAAUGGAGGUUAGUCAGCCUAUUGUUGUUUACUCUUUCUUGCUUUAUCACGCAAUGAUAUUCCUUUGCUUUACAACAAAUUUCAUGAAAUUAACUUCAAUCAAGUGGCAAUGUUCAUACGCUGUUGAGAUUUUAUGGACAAUGAUUUGGUAGAAUUUAUAUGCCGUCUUCUUUCUUUUUGCAGUGAUAUGCUUGUAUUCAAUGAGCUUGUACUUAUUCUAUGGUUUCUAAAGUAGGUGUUUUUAUGAUAAACUAGGUCUUGUGUAUUGUAUGGACUAUCUAGAGAAGAAUAUUGACUGGCUGCAGUCGAAAUUGGAACUACUUUUGAAAGGUAAGUAGAGGCCAUUUUCCUUCAUUCUAAUGCCAAUAAUGCUGUCAUGAGACUCAUAAAAAUUGUUAAAACGUUAAUGUUUUUGGUAUUUUGCAGAUCGUUAUCUUCUGUUUGAUUUUCCUGGCCAAGUUGAAUUAUUUUUUCUUCAUUCCAAUGCCAAGACUGUUAUAAUGAGACUCAUAAAUAAGUUAAAUCUCAGGGUAUUGUUACAUCUUACAUCUAUGAAGGGACUCAAAGAGUUGAGAUGAAUUCAUCUUUGUUAUUUUGAUGCCAGAAUUGUGCAAUUCUCAGUUUGUUCCUUUCACAUGCAGUUGACUGCAGUGCAUCUAGUUGAUGUGCAUCUUUGCAGUGACCCCAGGAAGUAUGUUAGUGCUUUGCUUCUCUCAUUGUCUACGAUGCUACAUCUGGAACUUCCCCAUGUCAAUGUCUUGUCUAAUCGAUCUGAUUGAGAAUCAUGGAAAGCUAGGUGUGGUUUUAAGUGUAGCUCUCCUGCUUGUUUGUUUAGUUUGAAAUAUCAGAUAUUGUCACAAGAUCCUAUUUGCUACAUUUCCUCACCAAUCAAUUAUUUUGGGUCUGUUGCAGCUUUUAAUCUCGAGUACUAUACAGAUGUGCAAGAUUUGUCAUAUUUACAGCAUGCUCUCGGUCAGGACCCUCGUUCUGCUAAGUACAGGUUUGAAUUCUAGCUGAAUCAAUGAUGCAAAUUAUGUCCAUUGUUAUUUCUGCUGUUGUUUCUAUCAUUUUCAAUUGUUACUUCCCCUUUCCAUCUACUACCACACUACAAUACCCACACAAAUGUUGUGAAAUUUGUCAAUGGAAAAAAAACAGUUCCUCUUUUAUUUUGAUCAGACUCAAUGAAUAAGUGGUUAAAAUGUGCCUGUCCUAGAAAUAUAGAUGUGUGGUUUCGUAAAAUUUUCUUGAUCUUAAGAAAGAGUUAUCUCGAAAAGAAGAUAACAUGGAGAAUUCAACAACUAUACAGUCAUAUUGAUGUCUGUCAACUUGGGUCAUAUGGUGUCGUUUGGAUGGAGAUGUUAGGUCCCAGAUGGUAAACUUGUUAUCGAAUUCCAGUCUACUUCAUUCAUGCUUUGAUGACAUAUACGGUGCAGCUUCUUAUCUAAGACCUGCAUAUGUUCAAUCAUCAUUCUGUUCUGUAUUUGGCUGCCAUUCUUUUCAAUGAAUUCAAACCACUUCUGAAUACUUGCAAAUUCAUCCAGUGUUGUCAUUGAGAUGCCAAUAUGAAAGGAAGCCAUAAUUGCCCUUGAUAGUAUGCUUAUUGAUUGCCUCUUGCCUCACUCAGCCUCAUGAAUCUGCUUGUAUGGUGUUCUUGUAAUUUCAUUUGGAGAUUAGUAAUAUCUGUUGUUCAAAUGUAUUUUAUAUACCAGCAGUUAAUAAUUCUGCUUGCAGAAAGCUUACAAAGGAGCUGUGUGAUGUAAUUUUUCAACCUUAGAUAUCCAGGUCAUCAGUUUCUCUUGAAUUCUUUCUUGAAUUUCUUUGAAUUAUUUGUGAAUAAGAUCUUAGUUGGCUGCUUCUCUUCAGGAUAAGGAAAGUGUGGCAAAACUCGUGAAGCUGAUAUAUAAAAGCAAUGGGUACAUCUUUGCUGGCAUGGAUGCCAGUGCAGUUGAAUUCAGCAAGAUUGCCGUUCGCGAUGUUGAUUGGGAUUAUUUCGGAUAUCCUUCUUUUCACCUAUUUUCAAUGUUGUUAUUCUCAUAUUCAUAAAAUUUUUUGGUUAUUUAAUUAUGGUUCAUCAUAUGCAUCUGCAUCUUCUAACUUGUUCGUUUGAGAAACUAAUUUUGCCGUUAGGUAGGCUUCGAGCUUGAUGAGUUGAUUCAUGCUUUUUUCAUAAAUGUACCAAAAUCAUGGAAACUUCUUUUUCCCAGAUAUUGUAUCCACACUUUUUCCAUGUAAUUGGGUCAGACAAGUUUUGCUUAACAAAGAUAUCUACAGUAGCCGAAGUGCAGGAGAAGUACAUUAAGGAUGAUGAUGAUGUUAACUAAAAUGAGACGUGAAGAUAUGUGGUGUGCGAACCGUAAGCCUGCCUCUUAAUUUUGUGCAUGUUUACUUGCUUGUGAUUCACGUUUGUUAAUCUAUUUUGCUCUCUUGCAGGAGUUAUAAAGUUUUCAAUCAAUCAAACAUUUAACUUAAGUCCUUACCUCUUGCUGCAAAGACAAUGGGAAGUCUCAUGAGCUCUAAAAAAACUGAAGAAGAGUGGAAAAUAAUUUUAAAUAGUGAUUUAUGGAAGGUAAAAGAGAUCGAGAAAGGUGUUCUAACCCCUUUGUGGUUGAGUUAUAAUGAUUUGCCGUCCAGAGGAAAAAGAUGUUUCUCGUAUUGUGCUGUCUUUCCAAAAGACUACAAUAUAAAAAAAGACAAAUUAAUUACUUUGUGGAUGGCUCAAGGUUAUCUUAGUGCAGAAGCAGCAGAACAAGAUGAGGAGUUGGAGACUAUAGGUGAAGAGUAUUUUGGCAUCUUAGCUUCUCGCUCUUUCUUUCAAGAGUUUCAGAAACGUUAUGAUAAUCGUAUUAUAGCGUGCAAGAUGCAUGAUAUGGUACAUGAUUUUGCCCAAUUUGUUAGUCAAAAUGAAUGUUUUUCGUUGGAAGUUAAUGGUAGUGAGGAACUAACCGUCACAAACUCUACAAACUCUCUUGAUGAGAAGGUCCGUCAUUUAAUGUUAAUCUUUAGUAAAGGGACUUCAUUACCUGUUUCCACUCGUAGAGUUAAAAGAAUGCGUACCCUCUUAAUUAACGAUAGUAGAUCUGAUCAUUCAUUAUUAAAUGGUGAGAUCCUAGAAGAAUUAUUUAGGGAAUUGACAAGUUUAAGGGCAUUAGAUUUUGGCAAAUCGUAUAACUCAAGUUGGUCUUCGACUGUGGAGAUUCCGAGAACCAUAGAAAAGCUGGUACAUUUAAGAUACCUUAAUUUGUUUUAUCAGGGAAUAAAGAAACUACCGGAGACAUUAUGCGAGUUGUAUAAUCUAGAAAAGUUAGAUAUUAGUUUAUGUUUUAAUCUUAAAGAAUUACCUGAAGGGAUUGGGAAGUUAAUAAACAUGAAGCAUUUACGAAAUAGAGGUACUAGUUCUUUAAGGUACAUGCCAGUAGGGAUUGGGAGAUUAACGGGUCUCAGGACCUUGGAUGAGUUCCACGUGAGUGGAGGAAAGCGUGUAGGCUUGAAUCUCUUAAAAAAUUGGAACACCUUCAAGUAUGUGGUAUACGUAGACUGGGUGAUGUAUCAGAUGUGGGCGAGGCUAAGCGAUUAGAACUUGACAAAAAGAAAUACCUCUUCAGUUUGACCCUUGAGUUUGAUAAGAAGGAGGAAGAAGAAGGAGAAAGGAGGAAGAACGAGGACGAUCAAGUUCUUCUUGAAGCCCUACAACCACCUCUCAAUUUAAAGGAAUUAGAGAUAGAGUACUACCGAGGCAACACUGUUUUCCCCAGCUGGAUGACGUCAUUAACCAACUUAAAGAGUUUAGAUCUCUCUUCCUGCGAAAAUUGGGAGCAGCUGCCUCCUUUGGGAAAAUUGCCAUCCCUUGAAGCACUCAGCCUAUGGGACAUGAAGUGUGUGGAAAGAGUGGGUGAUGAAUUUUUGGGGAUAGAAAGUGAUCAUCAUGGCUCAUCUUCAUCGGUUAUUAUUGCCUUCCCCAAAUUGAAAUCACUUUCAAUUGAGGUUCUGCGCGAAUUGGAGGAGUGGGAUUAUGGGAUUACAAGAACGGGAAACACCGUCAUCAACAUCAUGCCACGUCUUUCUUCCUUGACAAUUGCACUUUGCCCCAAAUUAAAGGCACUGCCCGACCACUUUCAUCAAACGACAACAUUGAAGGAAUUGCACAUUUGGGAUUGCAGGCUUCUGGAAGAACGUUAUUGCAAGGGGGAAGGAGAAGACUGGCCUAAGAUAUCACACAUUCCCAACCUCCAUAUUGGGCUUUGACAAGUAAUUUCUUCUCUUACUCUGAUUUGCUUUGUUGUUGUUUUUAAUCUAAUUAAGAAGCGUAAAUAGCAUUUUGAAUCAAACUCUAUAUCAGAAAUCUGCAAUACUUACUUUCUAAUAUUCUGAUUUUCAUAUCCUAUGAAUAUACGAUUUUUAAUUUGUGAGAUGGGUAACGUUACUGUAAAAGAUUAUUAAUGCAAUAUGAGUAAUUCUUUUGCAGGACAAGUGACCUACAUUUAGUUUGGCUUUGGAGUUGAAUAAUAACCUUUCGAGGUCCCGACAACCAAAAAACGAAGCUUAAUUUGCCACAGAUUGCACGUAUUGCCAUUAUUGACAAUUUUCUGCACAAGCUUAGGUUGAUGUCAAAAGAGGUAAAUUAUUGGCAUGCCUGACUAUUUUGACCAUUACACGAUUCAUAAGUUUACAUUAAUUUUGAUUUUGAGUUGAGUGAUUAGUUUUCUAGGUUUGCUUACUUUAACUGGGUGACCAAUUUCUUGUAACUAAAUGUAUGAUGUGAAGCAGAACUCAAACAAAAGUAUGCUACUUCUUGCGGAAAUCUUGCCUUUGUUCAGAUUAUGAAACCAUUUCCAUGCAGCAAAUUCAUCCAAAAGUUUGAAUAAGUUUCACGGUUGGACACUGUUGGUUUCUUUUUCUUCUGGGGUGCAUUUAGGUGCUAUCAAGUGACAGCUGUAAGUAUGAUUGCACUAAGCUGCCGCUGGGAAAUUUGAGGUUUUGAUGGCUGCCCAUGUUAUUUUCAAGAAACUAUUGAUGUAAGAAGCUGUGGUUCUUUUCAUCAGCUUGAACCUGAAACUGUCGCUAUGGAUAACUCAGGUUUUUGUUAUCAACUAUAUCAUCUUUUUCACUAUUUUGAAACUCUUAAGAUUAAACUUUAGUAAAGUUGUUUCAGCUUUUCAAAUGAAAAACUCAUUGAUUUGAGACUUCCUUCAUUAUUGUUUCUAAUUACAAUGCUAACGAUCCAGAUAAGAUAAUAUUUAAUCGGCGAAGGUGUCCCUUGGAAGUACAUCCUUCUUUUUCUUUUAUUAUACAAAUUCUUGCAAUGAGCUUAGUGAAGCUGUUGUGCUAAUCAUGCCACUGCAUAAUUUGGCCCCUAAUGUGGGUACUCUGUUACAUUGUUCUGCAAAUUCUCCAGAAGUUAAAAUCAAUAAAUUUUCUAUUAGCUCUAGUGCUUUGACCUAAAUGCUAUUCUAUAUUCUGAUUACAAUGUUUUACCUUUAAAUUAACUACCCCUAGAUGUUGGAUUUUCUAGAACUUCAAAAUGAUUAAUGGAGAAAGAUCCCAUUAUCGUUAUUGCUAUAAAAAAUUGAUUUAUGCAUCCAAAGAUACAUUAUAUAUUUCUGUGUCUCUAUUUAUAGAUGACAUUUAAGCAUCCAUAAACCGUCAGACAGAGGAAGGGGGUUCAGUGCAAAGAUUCUGUUGACCUAGGGUUGACUGCAUAAUGUCACUUGUUCGCAAUCUAUUAUUCUUUUCAAGGUCUGCUUCCUUAACGGAGCGACCAAUGUUUUUCAACUAAAUUUAUCAUAUGAUGCAGGAAGCAGGGCAGGAUAUGAAAUGUGAAGCUCAUUGGUGGAAGUAUUGCCAGUAACAGAACCCAAAGAAAAUGAAACUAUUUCAAGGCAGCAGUUGGCAGUUGCAAGUGAAUGGAGGCCCUUGACAAAAUUCUCAAGCGGUUGCAAUGCAAUUACGAUCAUCCUCAGCCUCAGGUAAUUUCUUCUCCUGCUUUGUAUUUAUUUGUUAUCUAAUUAGGAACCGUAAAGUAUCUUGAAUCAUUUUCUGUAUCUGGAAUAUAUGCAAGAGUUUCUAAAAUUUUGAUAUGAGUGUAAUGAUGGUAAUUUCUGUUUUCUGUCUGUCAUCAAAUGUUAGAAAACUUUCAUUGAGACCCUUGAACCGAGUCAUUUUUGACAAGUGAAGUGCUGAAGAGUGAAGAGUAAGAAUGGUGCUAGAUUGGGGAAUAAAGCAAAAGGAGGUAAAUUAUUGGCAGCUUCUUCAACCUUAUUUUCUUUGGACCAGUGCCUAAUUCACAAGUCUCCAUAAUUCGGCUUUUGACCAGUUGAUAGAUAAAAUUUUAAUUUCAUUGGUGCUAAUGUACCCGUGAGGCAGGCAGAGAAGGACUGUGGAAAAGAGAAGGUUUUUAGUGAAAGCUUAAACUCAGGUAAUUCUAAAAAUUAUAUGUUUUGGCUGAUUUAUCUAAAUCAGGAAAUUUUAUUUCCAUCUGUUACAAUAAAACAGAAACAGAACACAAAGAAAAAUAUUCUACUUCUUGUGGCAAUCUUGCCUUCAUUCAGACUAUGAAACCAUUUCCUUUCACCAAUUUCUUCCAAAAGUUUGAACACAUUUCAUGGUUGGACAUAGUUAGCUUCUUUUUCUUUUGGUGCAUUUAGGUGCUAUCAAGUGACAGCCGUAAGUAUGAUUGCAUUAUUGGGAAAUUUUAGGUUUUGAUGGCUCCCCAUGUUAUUGCCAAGAAAUUUUAAGUCCUCGUGUCAGAAGCUGCGUUUCUUUUCAUCAGCCUGAACCCGAACCUGUCACUAUGGAUAACUGAGGUUUUUGUCAUCAACUAUAUCAUCUUUUUCACUGUUUUGAAACUCUUAAGAUUAAACUUCAGUAAAGUUGUUUCAGUUAUCCAUGUAAUCAGGCUAAGGAUAUUUAGCAGCUUAUUUAGGCAACUGCCAGAAUUCAGUUUGUUCGCUCGAAACUUGUAUGGUGACAAGGAUACUGGCAAGGAUAGUGAGAUAGUUUUUUGUGUGAGUGAAUUUUGAAAGCUUGGGUGUUCUGGGAUUUGCAAUUGCAAUCAUCCUCUGCUUUAGGUGAUUUCUUCUCCUGUUCUGUCUUUAUUUUCUCUCUAAUUGAAAGCAUUUCAAUCAAAUUCUGUACCAGGAAUACGAAAAAUUUACCAAUAUUUUAUUUCCAUCUGUUUGCAUUGAUAACUUGGCCGCAUAUGUACUAGUUAAAGAACAAACAGAAGCAGAGUUCAGGAAAAAGUUUCUUCGGCCACCAUAUUUGAAAAUGAAACCAUUUCCAGGAAGCAGUUGGCAGCAAAUUCAUACAAAGUAUAGACAAUGAUGAACAAAAAGGUGAUUCGCAAUUUCAUUUUUUUAAAAUGAAAUUAUUUGUUAAGUUGGAGCUGAUAUUGUUAGAAGGCCAUUGAGCUAACCUCUGACACUGCUUGCCUAGAUUGCAGGAGGUCAAGACUCAAAAGAUGCACUGAAUUUUAAAAGGCAUGCAAUAAUUCUUAUGGCCAUUUGUCAAUGGUGGAAUGCUUUUAGCUUCUUUUCCUUUUGUGCAUUUUGGGGUUCUAUCAAGCGACAGCCGUAUGUAUGGAUGGAUAUAGCUGCUGCGUUGAUUUCUAAUGCAUUGUAUGAUGUUAUAGCAACUAUCCAUCUGGUCAAUGUUUCAAAAGAAUAAGACAGGGAAAAAGAGAAAGCAAGUGGCCAAUCAAGUUGCAUCAACCAAAUUGUUGUUAAACAAGUAAAACAAAGAAAGAGAGUUAAGGAAGCUGACCUUGUAGUAGGGGAGCUGAAGAAAGGCUGCCAGUGAAUGUAAGAGAAAAUAAAAUGCAAGAAAUGGUGAAGUGCAGCUUUUCAUGUCAACUUGAAAUUGAUUUUUCUGUUUGUUUUUUUUUUUUUGUAAUCUUUUGGAUUUUUCAAACAAAGAAAAUGAGGAGCAACCAGGGAGAUAAAAAGGGCGCCAAGGCAACUGUGUGUUGGGUUUAGAGCCAAAAAUAAAUAAAUAAAUAAAUAAGACAUCGUGUUCUUGUGGAGACCAGACCUAUUACGUAACGUCCCCUUCAAUACCACUUGUUCCGUAUCUGGUUUUCUCUUCGUCGUUUACAUAUUUAUCCUGUGAUUUUACAAUAACUAAAUAAUCCCCGCAUAGUUUGCAAUUUUAUUCAUUUGGGCCCUACAGAUUUCAGUAAUAGGAAUUAUUAAGGGACAAGAGCGCAAAACAGAAACUCUGUCCACUACUGAUGAUAUAAUAACGAACCUUUGUUUUUUUUUUUUAAAAAAAAAAAGAGUAACAAAAUAUCAUUAGACAAAUGAAAAUAUUAUCUAACAUCACCUAUUCACCUUACUGAUGAUAUGAAAAUAUGUAUGUAUGUAUGUAUGUAUGUACAUAUAUACAUACACCUAUGUAACAUUUACUUAUACAUUCUUUUGAGUUUAAAUCUUAAUACAACUACAUACAACCACAUCAAUGUAUAUAUUUUUUACAUAAGACAUGCCGUCCUAUUAUUCAUAAGUAAACAAUGUGCCGUAAAUAGUAUUCUGUGUUUUCUCAAAGUUGACUUUUCGUCUUUUAUUUUCAGACGCAGACGCUAUGUCAUUUUGUAAUCGUCCGAACAUAUACAGAGCAGAAUUGGUGUUAUCUGAUUUUGUGAUGCAAUAAGAUUUGCACUUCCUGUGCAUUCAAUGGAAUCAUGCCACGCUAGUAGACAAUAUGCUAGUUUGAACAAACUUGUUUGAAUGGCAAAAACGACAUGACCUGCUGUAGUAUUAAUUCUUUCCCGAACCAACGGGUGAUUUGCUACGUUGGAUCAUGAAAAUUAACCAAAAUAAAAAUUCUUAAGGAAUUAGUUAGUUAAUUGAUUGAUCGAAUUUAAUCUAAAUUUGAAAAUGAUAAGAUAAAUUUAAAUUUAUUAUUAUUAUUAUUAUUAUUAUUUUAAAGUGGGUGGGUUUAUACAAUUUGAGCGGUGGAAAUAUCACUGCUGAAUUAUUAAAUAUACAGUGUAAAAUUUUGACCUUUAAAAUAUUCCCUUUUUUUUUUUAUUUAGCACUAUAAGUUUAAAAAUUUAACAUUUUACCUCAAUAAUUAAAUACUUUUAACUUUAAUCUUCAAAUAUUUACCCUACAACAUUUGGACCUAAAUUUUUAAUCCGACUCGGCCCCUGACCCAAGUGGGAAGAAGAUCAGGCUUAUAAGUUAUAACUAUCACCAACAUAACAUCUUCUGGAAAAUAAUAAGAUUACUCACCUGCAAUUAUGUGAUCAAACUAAUGGUAAGCAAAAUAGAACAGCGUUAUUUCAGUCCCCUUUCAGUUUCUUUAUCAUUUUUCUUUUCCUAUUUAUAAGCUUAAUUCGGUUCAAAAUCGGCUAAUUCACUUUGAUUUCACUUUUCUUUCUUUCGGUUCAAAAAAAUUGAACCCAUUGGCUGUCAAUUCAAUUUUGUUGAAAACCAACUUUGCCUGAAUUUAAGUAAUAAUAGAGGAAAAAAAAAGAGUACUUAGCAGAAGAGAUUUCUCAUUUUUUUCUCAUUCAAACUUCUAAAAUAAAAGAAAAAAAAACAAGAGUAAUUGUUAAUUAUCAAAAUUUUGUUUAUACUAUUCCACCAAGAAAAUUAUACAAAAAAAAAAAUUUUAAAAAUUGGAGAAGAAAUAUGAGGUGAAAUACGUGGAUGGCUUAGACUAAUAAUGUGAACAAAUUCCUCUUGGAAGCAUGUCAUUGUUCAUCCGGACAACACGCGGCGAUGAGAUUCGAGAAUAAAAGGAUAGGAAUCAACUGUAACCUCAUAAACAAAUGGCCUUGGAGUUGUAACCAAAGCUUUUAAUUAUUGAUCAUUAAGAUCGAUAUAAAGUAUCACGAAAUGAUGUGUACGACGACAAUAUCAAUAGCGUAGUGUGAAGACCUGGCUGUAAACACAAGGCUCGGCAGAUUAAUUAAACAAGAGUAUCCGAAUUUUCUAUGAUAAUCUCUAGGAAACGAUCAGCUAUAAUGUACGAAAUUAAAAUAUUGCAUAUAUUUUUGAAUUUUUGAACUCAUGCAUUAAUUUAAAAAAUUAUAUCGUAUUAUAAUUUAUUCACAAAAGAAAGAAAAAUUCACUAAUCAAGUGAAAUCGUAUUCUUAUUGAAAUGAAUUCCAGUAAUUGGAUAAAUAUAAGUAUUUCUUCCGUUGUAAUUUUUGUUUAACAGAAAAUCUAUUUGAGAUUUUGUGAGAAGAAACUCAACAAUAAAGUUUGAUAGACUUUGUGGAUAUUAAGAGUUUGACAAGUAAUUGAAAUCUGAAGUUUACUGAAAUUUACGAGCAAACAAACUGAAAUCCGAAGUUUACUGAAGUUUACUAUCAAGAGUUUCAAAACAGUGAAAAAGAUGAUAUAGUUGAUGACAAAAACCUGAGUUAUCCAUAGCGACAAGUAACAUACUGAAGUAAGCCGUUGGGAGCUGGCCUGUUCAUGGGCUAUUUUUCUCUGAUGAUCUGCAUUUUUCUUCCUUUUAAAGUGAACCUUGACUCGUAUCAAACCUGUCAAAAGAACAGUUCAUCAACUGAGCUGAGAUUUGCUUUCCUUUUUCAAAACCCACCUGAGAUAUUGUAAUUCCCAAAUUUCUCUCUCUCAGCUACACGAGCAAGCAGCCGCUUUUUCACUUCAUCGAAGAAGGUAAGCGAUUUAUCUAUUUCGUCCGAUUGAUUUCUUGUUUCGUUUUCAGUGUUCGGGUAAAUUAUUGGCAUGCCUGACUUUUUGACCAUUACAUGAUUCAUAAAUUUCUAUUAAUUUUGAUUUUGAGUUGACUGGUUACUUUUAUAGGUUUGUUUACUUUGACUAGGUGACCAAUUUCUUGUAACUAAAUUUAUGACGUGAUGCAGGAAGCUCGGCAGGAUAUGAAAUGAGAAUCUUAUUAGUGGAAGGAUUGCCAGUAACAGAACCCAAAGAAAAUGAAACCAUUUCAAGGCAGCAGUUGGCAGUUGGGAGUGGAUGGAGGCCCCUGACAAAACUUCAGUAAACUUCAGAUUUCAGUUUGUUUGCUCGAAACUUGCAUGGUGACAAGGAUACUGGCAAGGAUAAUGAGAUAGUUUUUGUGUGAAUGAAAUUACGAUCAUCCUCAGCCUUAGUUGUUAUUUGUUACCUAAUUAAGAAGCAUAAAGUAUCCUGAAUCAUUUUCGUUGUCUGGAACAUAUGAGUGUAAUGAUUGUAAUUUCUGUUUUCUGUCUGUCAUCGAAUGUAAGACAACUUUAUUAAGAUUCUUGAACCGAGUCAUUUUUGACAAUUGAAGGACAAGUGCUGAAGAGUGGGAAUGCAAAAAGUUUUGUUGUUUCUAGCCUUGUUUUCUUUGAACCAGCGCCUGAUGAUAUAACAGAAACAAGGCUAGAAACAACAAAAACUCUGUCCACUACUGAUGAUAUAACAACGAACCUUUGUUUUUUUCUUUUUUCUUUUUUUUUUUAAAAAAAGUAACAAAAUAUCAUUAGAGAAAUGAAAAUAUUAUCUAACAUCACCCUACUGAUGAUAUGAAAAUAUGUAUGUAUGUAUGUAUGUAUAUACGUAUGUAUGUACAUAUAUACAUACACCUAUGUAACAUUUAAUUAUACAUUCUUUUGAGUUUAAAUCUUAAUACACAUUUUCAUGAAAUUUUUAUUUUAUUAAGUAUACAACUACAUACAACUACAUUAAUGUAUAUAUUUUUUACAUAAGACAUGCCGUCCUAUUAUUCAUAAGUCAACAAUGUGUUGUAAAUAGUGUUCGUGUCUCAAAGUUGACUUUUCGUCUUUUAUUUUCAGACGCAGACGAUAUGUCAUUUUAUACACAGCAGAAUUGGUGUUAUCUGAUUUUGUGAUGCAAUAAGAUUUGCACUUCCUGUGCACUCAAUGGAAUCAUUUCUUUGUAACUAAUUGGGUGCUGGAAUGGUGGUCAAAUCUCGAACGAAGACAGAUCUAUCAAACUCCAGAAUUGGUGUUAUCUGAUUAAUUGAUUGAUCGAAUUUUAUCUAAAUUUGAAAAUGAUAAGAUAAUUUUGAAUUUAUUAUUAUAAUUAUUAUUUUAAAGUGGGGUGGGUUUAUACAAUUUGAGCGGUGGAAAUAUCACUACUGAAUUAUUAAAUAUACAGUGUAAAAUUUUGACCUUUAAAAUAUUCCCUUUUUUUUUUAUUUAGCAUCUAUAAAUUUAAAAAUUUAACAUUGUACCUCAAUAAUUAAAUACAUUUAACUUUAAUCUUCAAAUAGUUACCCUACAACAUUUGGACCUAAAUUUUUAAUCCGAUUCGGCCCCUGAUCCAAGUGGGAAGAAGAUCAGGCUUAUAACUAUCACCAACGUAACAUCUUCUGGAAAAUAAUAAGAUUAUUCACCUGCAAUUAUGUGAUCAAACUAACGGUAACCAAAAUAGAACAGCGUUAUUUGAGUCCCCUUUCAGUUUCUUUAUCAUUUUUCUUUUCCUAUUUAUAAGCUUAAUUCGGUUCAAAAUUGGCUAAUUCACUUUAAUAAGUUUAUUGGUUUGAACGCUGUUAGCUUCUUUUCCUUUCGUGCAUUUUGGUAUGCAACAGUUCUUGCCUAUGACACUGCUUGCCUAGAUUGCAGAAGGUCAAGGCUCAAAAGAAGCACUGAAUUUUAAAAGGCAUGCAACAGUUCUUGUGCCAUAUGUCAAUUCAUGCAAGUUUGAAUAAGUUUUUUGGUAUGCUAUCAAGUGACAGCCGUAUGUAUGGUUUGCAUAUAGCUGCUGCUGGGAAAUGUGAGGAUUUCAUGGCUGGCCGUGUUAUUGUCUUAAAUUAGAUGUGAUAAGCUGUUGCUUGGUGAUUCUGUUGCCAAGAAUUUGCUCACAUCAGAAGCUGUGGAACCUGAACCCUUCUCUAGAUAUCAUCUUUUUCAUUGUUUUAAAACUCUCAGGAUUAAACUUGAGUAAUUUUGUUCGGUUGUCUAUAUAAUCAUGUAUUGAGUAAACUCUCAGGAUACUGAGCAGGCAAAUGCCAUAACUCGGUUUGUUCUUCAAAAACUUGUUUAAGAUUCUUGACAAAGCUGCAUGAAGUGAAUCUUGGGAGCUUUGAGGGUGAGAGAAAUUAGAGGGUGUAUAGGGAUUUGGGCUUAUUAGGAAGUUAUAUAUGUAUUUCGUCACUUAUCAUUAUCAUUUUUUUUUUCACAGAAAACCUUCUGAUGGUGCUAAAUUUUCAAACACCGGUCCGAUUCAAAACUUCAUAUUCCAAUUAUAUUCAUAAGACAAAUGGAACACUUUGAACGGCUUGUGUCCGAGCAUUGUAGUUUGAUUUAUUUUGAUGACAGUACCUUUUGACAUUGAGAUUCUUUCAUGAUUUAAACAUUCUUUUAAAAACUAAAUUAUUAAAAAAAAAGUAACUAACAUAUAUUAUUUUAUUAGUGCUUUUUAAAUCAAAUAUACAUAGGAGAACUGUAAUUCUUAGCAAUCAAUUUUCCACUAAAUACACCUGCAACAAACUAUUAAUAGCAAAGUGAUAGAAAAUACCUGAUUUUUCAUACUUUCUAAUUUCUUUUGGUCCUAAAAUAUGGGCAUUUGUGUAAUAAUUAGCCCAUGUGGAUCUCUAUGCCAUGAGUUUGAUAAGUAGCUAUCAAGGAUCACUUAUUAAGCUAAAAAUAUUUGGAGGACAAAAUUGUAAAACUAAAAGGGUGGAGCAAAUAUGGCUAUCUAGGAUUAAAUAGUAAGUCAACUAUAUUUAAAGGAUAAAAUAUUAAAACUUGAAAUGUGAUAUUAAAAAUAUCUCAACUAUUAUGUUAUUAAACCAUAUGUUGUAAUAGUUUAUUUUUUAAGCUUCAAAAUGUUCAGGAUUUUAGAUUGAAACAUUUUCAUUUGAAAUUAUUUGGUGCAGUCACAAGUUAAGAAAGAAAAAGUUGUCCCAUUGGUCAUUUCACAAAAAUGAAAGCCCUGUAUAACAUGGGCUUGAAUGGAAGCCCAAUUGUUUGUGUUUGAUUAAUUGAUUUCAAGCUUUAUCGAACCUUUGUACCUGGAUACUUUACUGCGGCCUCUAAGCGCUAUAAAUUUUUUUGGGGAUAAACGGCGCUUCAAUGAGGUCAUCUCCGAUGCUUAACACCAUUUUGGUGUAAUACCAACAUUAAAAAUAUACAUUUUUCACACUAAAUUACUAUUUCAUCUCCAACCCAUUUACACCAAAAAAAAUAUUUUUCUUUUUAUUCUUUUAAUUCUCAAGAAUUAAUUCAAUUAACACAAUAAAUACUACUAUUAACAUAGAUAAUUAAGUAAUAAGUAAUUUUAUCGAUUAACAAAAAAAUAUAGAAAAUUAUUAAAUUUGCAUUUAAUUAACUAAAUUAGUACAUUAUGAAAAUUAAACAUUACAUUAAUAUAGAAAAAUACAAUAACAAUAAUAAUAAUUUUAUAUCUAAUAUUUUGAUGAUAUUGGAGGAUCUAAUAAUGAUCUUCCAGAUUAUUAAAUAAUUGUUCUAAUUUAUACUAGUAGUAGUAGCUUUUUUAAUUUGUGUUAAUUUAAUUUUGUAAUAUGUAAUAUAGUAAUUAAUGUUACUAGCAUUUUAUUAUUAUUAUUAAUUUUUGUGUUGAAUAUUUUUUAUUUAAAAUAUUAGUAUAAUAUUCAAAAAUUAAAAAAUGAAAUAAAAAUAAUAACAAAAAUAAUAAUAAUAAUAACUUAAAAUAUUAUAUAAAAUAGGACAUAUAUGUAAAUAAGAAAAAGUAAUAAAGAUAUUUAAGAGCUUUUUUUCCUAGCACCAAAUGAAUAGUGUUACACCAUAUUUGGUGCAAUACUAUUCACAACACCAUUUUGUUGUUGGUUUUGGUGUUACAUUGGAGAAGCAUUUUACACCAAAAAUAGUGUAAAAGGUGGUUUGGUGUUAGUUUUGGUGUCACAUUGGAGAUGGCCUGGAAAAGCACUUGAAAACUUUGGAUUUUUGGUUCGUCCAGUUACGGUGUUAUGCUAACGGGGUUAAAGGUUCCGAUCCAAUGAGUUAGGAUCCGAAGGUUACUGAAGUUUACUAUCAAGAGUUUCAAAACAGUGAAAAAGAUGAUAUAGUUGAUGACAAAAACCUGAGUUAUCCAUAGCGACAAGUAACAUACUGUUUAUUACAGAGAAACAAACGACAACAUGAUACUAGUAGUAGUUAUUCUUUUCAUCCGAUAUAUUACAUGGUAAUAUCACUACUCGUUCCACUAGUUUCAUGUACACUGUCGACCAGCAACAUGAUAAUUUCGUGCCAGUUCAUUUUGGUUUGUUGGAAAAAGCAGUGUAUUUCUUAGAACUUGAAAAUAAUAAAAAUAUUUUAAAAUAUAAAUUGCAUAUUUGUUUAUUACCAUUCUUUGGUCUAUUUCUUCUGUAGACUUUUCAGAAUCUGUAGGACGUUAGUUUAUAACUUUGGGAUUUUGUAGCCCUAAUUUUUUUUUUUGGCAUUUUAUUUUGCUGCUUUAUCUAUGUGCAUGUUAACUAAAUUAAGCUAAUCUAGAAUUAAUAGAGAGGGAUAUUUAUCUAUUUUGUUUAACCUUUACCACUCUAGGCAUUGUACUACAUGUGAGCUUGUGAUGCUUGCAUUUUAUUGAUGUUGAUGAUUCGUUGAAUGUUUUAUUUUUUGAUUUUUUAAGUUUUCCAGAGUCAUGUUUGUGUCUACGAAGAAAUUGUAAAGGCUGUGCACGAAGCACUUGUCAUUCUUUAGACUUUAUUGAUUAUAUUUUUGUCAGAUUUGCGUGUAUAUUCACAUAUGUUUUAUUUUUUCAUUUUGUAGGACAUUUUUACAUGCCAUAUUAUCACGACUCUUCUGUGUCUGAAUAAGAAGAAAGCAUAAUGCGACCCUCCAACAGCUUAAUCUAUGGAAUUAUCGUGUUUUGUAAGUUCUGGUCCAAUGGCGUUUUGGCACAUCAUAUGAUAGACCACUAUAUUGCGUUGCUUUACAAAAGAUUAAUAUUUUUAAAAUUAUUAACUCAUGAUAUGAUAGUCCAGGUUUUCGAGGACCACUAUAUUGUAUGGAUUUAAAAAAAAUUAAUAUUUUUUAAUAUUAAUAUUCUAAAUUAUAUUCAGUUAAAAUAUUAAAUAUUAAAUACAUUCUUAACAUUAAUAUUCUUAGAUGAAAUUCUUUUGCUGACUUAAGAAUAAAGUAUUAAAUAAUUUUAUUUUUCUUUUAUUUUGUAACGUGGACCCAAAAAAAAAAGGAAAUGAAUUUAAUAAAACCUUCAUUCCGCCAACAUGCAUGUUAAUUGUUUCCAAAUUCCAACCUCCGUACUCUCUUGAGGAGUUUCCCAUUCAUCAAUUAUUAUUUUUUAUAAUCCAUACCAUCCUGAUAUAAUUAAACACCAUUAAUAAUGUACCAGCCUUUAAAUAGUAAUUAAUUUAUUUAUCUAAUUCACCAAAUGUUUUUUUCCGGUACAUAUCUCCAUUGGUAUCAAGAAGAAGCAGAACCCAAAGAAAUGUUUCUUGCAUCUUCAUAUUUGUGCGAAUUCAUCCUUUCAUUGAGAAUAACCAUUUCCAGGCAGCAGUUGGCAAUCAAUUCAUGCGCAUGUCGAUGCUACUCAUAGAUAUUAAAGACAAUGAUGAACCAAAGGUAAUAAAUCAUAAAUGCAUAAUUACCAAACCUCCAUCCUUCUCUCAUUAUGACUUGAUUUUAAAUGAAUUAUUGCUUGGUAACAUUAUUUCCAACCAUUGCAAGAUUUUUUUUUGGAGAAAUUUCAAUUGAAAGUAAAACCUUUAGACAUUUACCUAAUGAAGUUAGUUAAUCGGGAGGGUGGAAAAAAAAAAGUUGACGCAAGUCAAUACACAAUAAUUAAUUAAAUCCGGAGUCACUAAAACAGAGCCACGACUUUUUCAAAAAUAUCUGCAUUCAUCACUUUCUCCAGCAACUAGUCAGCUACACACGAAUCAAUUUCUCUCCUCGUUUGUCAUCCAAAAUUAUUCACCAAUACCAUGGCUGAUGCAAUCGUUUCCCCGCUCUUGGAGCAGCUGAUUUCCUUCGCUGCUGAAGAGAUAAAACAACAGGUGAUCGAAGUUACACCCCUCAUAUUACAAAUACUUCCAAUGAUUUUAAUUGGUUUUGUUUUUAUCAAAAACAUUAUAUAUUUUUGCUUUUUUUUAUUUAUCUGAUAAUUUUAUAUUUUGAAAUUUGAAUUGAAUUUAAUUAAAAGGUGAUGUAGUAACCACUUAUUUUUAUUUUAUUUCAUUUAUAUUCUCAAUAACUACUCAUAUUUUGGUAACUUACUAUAACUUCCAUAUCUAAGAAAUGAUCCAAACCCACAAUUUUAACUAUGUAUAAAUAUUCAACGUUGAGCUAAGGUUUUGCAGAACAUUCAAGUUUAUCAAAUAGUCAUUAAUUUAAUGUUUUAGUAAAACCUCAACUCAUCACUGAAUCCCAUAGCUAUUACUUAGACACUAUGAAAAAUUUCAUAGUUUUCUUACAUUCUUUCAGUUUGGUAAGUGAUUUCAUAUAAUUUCUUUUCAAGUUAAAUUUUAAUUUGGUUUCUGAUAUAGUCUCUUUGCCGAAUUGUAUCUUUUAUGAUUCUUGGAUUUUGGGCUCCAACUUUUUAGGAUUUGAUAGUCACAUUUUAUGCCAUGCUCAGAUUGAUUUUCAUGAUUUUUAGUACCCGUUAAGUGACGUACAAUUUGACAAAAGUUUGAAAGGAAAUAUGUUUCAGAAUUCUGUUUUAAUUGACCUUUUAGUGGAAUUAGGAUGCUUAUAACUUAAUGUGGAUGGUUCGUAAAAUCAUGAAAUUUGGAUAGGAUUCACUAGCAAUAUGUACAAGACUCCCCAUAAAGUUUCAUAAUUUUUCAUUCGGUCUGGGGUGGUACAGGUGAAACUUGUGGUUGGUGUUGAAAAAGAAGUGAAAAGCCUUACCAGCCAUCUUCAAGCCAUUCAAGUUGUGCUCGAUGAUGCAGAGGAAAAGCAAGUGAAGGAAAAAGCUGUUAGUCUUUGGCUGGGUAGGCUCAAGUAUGCAUCCUACGACAUUGAAGAUGUGUUGGAUGAGUGGAUAACAACAAGACGCAAAUUGCAAAUUGAGGGUGGCGUUGAUGAAAAUGCUCUUGUUGUUCCUCAUAAGAAAAAGAAGGUAUGUCUCUGCUUUCCCGGCUCUUGUUUUGGAUUCAAACAAGAAGAAUUUGGUUUCAAACAGGUCUUUCUCCGUCAUGACAUUGCCGACAAGAUCAAAGAAAUCAAUGAAGAGCUACAUGAUAUUGCCGCUCAAAAAGACAUGUUUGAUCUUGUUAAGAGUGGCAAUAAAAGUAGUGAAAGACCAAGGCGUGUACAGAGUACCUCCUUGAUUGAUGAGGAAGAGAUUUGUGGCAGAGUUGGUGAGAGGAAUGAACUCUUAAGCAAGCUGUUGUGUGAGAGUAGCGAGCAACAAAAAGGCCUUCAUAUCAUCUCAAUCGUUGGUAUGGGAGGCAUAGGGAAAACAACUCUUGCACAACUAGCUUGUAAUCAUGACGAGGUGAAGAGAAAGUUCGACAAAAUUCUGUGGGUGUGUGUAUCAGAAACUUUUGAGGAGUUUAGGGUUGCCAAAGCGAUCGUUGAAGUUUUGGAUGGUCGUGAAUCUCAUUUAGCUGAAUUCCAUUCUCUUCUUCAACAUAUUUAUGAAUCCAUUGCAGGGAAGAGCUUUCUUCUUGUCUUAGAUGACGUGUGGGAUGGAAAUUACUUGAAAUGGGAACCAUUCUACCAUUGUCUAAAGAAUGGUCUCCAUGGAAGUAAAAUUUUAGUUACCACACGUAAAGGGUCAGUCGCAUCCAUGAUGGGAUCCAUAGAUAUUAUCUCCGUUAAGGAGUUAGCUGAAGAGGAAUGUUGGUUGUUGUUUAACAAGAUAGCAUUUUUUGAUCGGUCCAUCGAGGAACGUGAAAAAUUAGAACAAAUUGGGCAAAGAAUUGCAGGCAAGUGCAAAGGUUUACCUCUUGCAGCAAAGACAAUAGGGAGUCUCAUGCGUUCUAAACAAACUGAAGAAGAGUGGAAAAGAAUUUUAAAUAGUGAUUUAUGGAAAGUAGAAGAGAUUGAGAAAGAUGUUUUGUCCUCUUUAUUGUUGAGUUAUAAUGAUUUGCCAUCUAGAGUAAAAAGAUGUUUUUCAUAUUGUGCUGUCUUUCCAAAAGACUACAAUAUAGAAAAAGACAAACUAAUCACGUUAUGGAUGGCUCAAGGUUAUCUUAGUGCAGAAGAAGAUGAAGAGAUGGAGACAGUAGGUGAAGAGUAUUUUGGCAUCUUAGCUUCUCGCUCAUUUUUUCAAGAGUUUAAGAAAAGUUAUGAUAAUCGGAUUAUAGAGUGUAAGAUGCAUGAUAUGGUACAUGAUUUUGCCCGAUUUGUAAGUCAAAAUGAAUGUUUUUCGAUGGCAAUUAAUGGUAGUGAAGAACCAAACGCCACAAACUCUCUUGAUGAGAAGGUCCGUCAUUUAAUGUUAAUCUUUAGUAUAGAGGCUUCAUUACCUGUUUCCACUUGUAGAGUUAAAAGAAUUCGUAGCCUCUUAAUUAACGAUAGUAGAUCUGAUCAUUCAUUAUUAAAUGGUGAGAUCCUAGAAGAAUUAUUUAGGGAAUUGACAAGUUUAAGGGCAUU
rnacentral:lncRNA from 1 species